rnacentral:lncRNA from 1 species
AAAUAUGGCAUGCAUUCAUUUUGAAAUUGUUUCUAUAGGAUGUGAAGCAAAGCAAAACACACAUGUAAUGCACACAAAGCAAGCUAAAGCCAUCACAUGAGUCAGAAGGUAAAAUUCUCAAGGUGAUAAUCCAUCAGGUAAGGUACAACCAACCAACAAACCAAUUUAUCCAAACCCCCAAAUCUCUCCUCAUUUCUCAUCAAAAUUCGACAACCAGACCAACUCUUUCUUACAAACGCGCCACCCCACCAAUGAACGGAUCAAAAUUUCAACCACCCCCAACCCAACAGACAACAUCACACCUAUCGCCACAAAAUUCCAUUCCGCAGUUCCUGAGACGGCCAGGCAUGUACAUCGAAAACAACAGCGCUUGCUCCUCGACAUGGCGGCUCAGCUGAACGCCCUACUAAAAGUACAAAACGGAAAAUAAAAUCCGGAAGAGAACAACCGCUUCCCCUGUUCCAGCUUCUCCAUAUCUAUCUUCACCACAGGAUCAAACAUUUCCGGUUGUUUCUGCUAUCUUUCUUGUAUGCUCCCCCUCUUUUAGAUUUGAAGUAAUUAUAUCAUCAUCUUUUUCGCCAUGCUUCAUCAUCUUAUUAUGUACAGUUACCAGCAGAGCCUCAAAUGACAAACAUGUCCGAUGAGCAUAUCUCCAUUUUAAGCAAAGGGCGGCUUCGGCAUCCAUGCUAAGAUUCAGGCAAUGGAACGGCCUUGUACAGGUUCAAGGUUCCAUGGAAUACGGUGAGGUGUCCCCCGUUAAGAUAAGCUUCCAUCUGCACAACCAGUCGUUUCGAUUAGAUUUACUCCCUCCAUCAUCUCAACAAAACAAAAUAGCAGACUGCAAAACAAACAGCAACAAACCUGAUCCUGAGGGAUUUUAGAGAAGCCAAACUUCUUCAUCCAGAUGGCUUCGGCUUCAUGGGCAGCUGGAAGCAUGAAGUGCUUCACCUUCAGCGAAACUAGCAGCCUUUCGAUGCAUGAGAACAACACUUGGAAGUAGCCCUGUUUUUAUUAGCACAAAAAAAUCAUUAGAAAGUAAAAAAAGAUAUGGAAUCAAUAAAACAUACCUAGAUGUGAAUAGAACACACAGGUUAACUCUUUAGAACUGCAUUUUUUUGACUGCAUGGAUGAUAUAAUGCUAAGCAGCAACCGUGAACUCACCAGUCCUUGAAGAUCCAUGCUUGUAGCAACCAGUGGCAGUUCGGCCACGUCACCUCCCAUGACACGCAAGAGUGCUGCCGACACGACAGUAGAACUGCGAUAGGCAAGCAGAAUUCAGUAACACUGCAUGCAAAAGUAUGGCCAAUUUUUUGUUUCAAAUCAAAUGAUAAAGAAUUCUUACCCUACAGUUAAGACCGCACAGUACAUUCCACUGUAAUCUUGGCCUGGCAUUCCUUCUUUAGGUCUCCUCCUGGAAGAAAAGAGAAAUCCCAUUUAGCACGGUUCUACUCUAGGUGUUGAACAAAAUAUUGGGAAACGGUUAUCUUCUCUUACCCGUGGACCAUCUCAGGAAUUAGAUCCCUACCGGUAUGGGCUUCGAUGAUUGGAUCAAAAGAUUGCUGCAAGGAGAAAACAACCAGGCAAGUGAACCAGUUAGCAUACAACAUUGAUAAAACAGUGGUAAAGAGGCAAAACAAAAUGCAGCAUACAAUACAAGAUUUAAAAAAAUGCAGCGCAUACAUGAAUAACUGGGACAGCAGAAGAAAGCAAUGAGUUGCCAGCUUCAGUGGCACUUCUACCAGCAACCAAUUGCCAUCUGAUCUCUGUAUUGACAUCCAUAAUCAAACCUUUUGACUCGUGUUUCUUUCUUAUGAUAUCAAGAUCUGACUCCGACAAAGGCUGAGCUCCUUCAGAAAUCAUCUUGUCCAAAGAGGAGCGUAUCUCAGAGCAACUAUCACAACAGAACCACUCCCCUUCUGGUAAUUCCUGCAGAGCAUAAACAAGCUAACUGUGUUAUCUUCCACCAAAGAUGUUCGUUUCAUGUGAAUAUAUCAUGCACAUAGAAACUUAAAUGUGGAGAUGGAGUUUUUAAGUGCUAACCUUCAGGUCGACCUGCCAUUCACUCCUCAAACAUCCUACAUGGUAUUCUUUCUCGCACUGAACAGCACAGAAAAAAGAUGGAAGAAAAAUGUGUCUUAAUAUCAGGAUCAUAAGUUGAAUUUAAGCAGUAACGAUCAAGAUGCAAUUUCUAGAAAUGCAGAAGGCGUACUUGAUCGCAGAGUAUCACAGUGCGCUCAUCAAAUACUGAAUUGUUAAAAUCCUUUUUCCUGCACCAAGAAGAUUUGCCAGAAAGAUUAUUACAAGAAUACAAAGUAGUCAGAAAAUAAGGAAAGAAAGAAAGUGACAGCACAGCUAGCAACAUUUUAGGACAAAUAGUACUCACUUGCACAAGGCGCAUCCUCCAAGGUCAUCACAGAUUGGGACGAUUCUAAUAGCCCUCUUCAAAAUCUGCUCAAUAGAAUCGACUCCGGCCUGCCUCCCAGCAGCCUUGGCAUUCUUAUUUGCUGCUAAAGCCUUUUCUUUCUGAACGAGGAUGGUGCAGUUAUCACAAAACCACUCCCCCAAGGGAACUCCAGGCAGCCCAACGCAAGCUACAGAUUGUAAGUAAGCAGAUCCAUAUUAGAUUGGUUGAGAUGAUCAUUUACGAGAGAAUAACUGAAAAAUACCACUCUUGGCGCAUUAUUGACCGUUAGUUUUAGGAAGAUGGAAGGCUCUACCUGGGUGAAAUGACCUUGGACACAUUUUGCAAGGGAAAAUAUCCCCUCCUAGACCACAUUCUCUGCACAGAUCAUCGGUUUCACGUUCCGACAAUUGCAUGUCUUUUGAUAUACUCAUCGACAGCUCAUGCAGGGAUACCCCAUUUGACGUAUAGAUGUUGUCAUACCUGAUAGCAACGUGAUAAAUAAGAGCAAGCAGACAAGUGCAGGUUGGUAUAAGCUAAAAAGAGGAUGCAGCCGACUUACGGUUUGCGUCUUGAUCCCUCACCCGCAUGAGCUUCGAACGCUGAGGGGCUGACCUGGAUAUUCCUCAUAAAAGGUCAAUCCACAGGGACAAAAAUGGAUACACAGUAAAAAAUAGCUUUGACGAGAAGGGGGACGCACCACUUUGUUGCAAUGGUUACAGUAGAUUCUUUGAUCCUUGAUGUAUCCAUCGAUUAUUUUCUACACAGUGCAAGUGCAAAUUAUCAACAAAAAAACACAGGGAGUGGUUAAAGAAAAUAAGGAAAUAAUAGAUCUUGCUCCAAACCUUCCCAUCAACAAAGUAGGUUACUUCAGUACCGUCAAGCAAAACCUUGAAUACCAGUUUGUGUAGCCCCGUAUCCCUGAAAAUUUGUCAAGCAGGGACCAAUGAGUUAAGUGCUCAAUAGUGAGAAACUAAAAGGGAUAACUAACAGAACUAGAAGUACCGACUUUGUUGUUACUUUUCCAGUACUCGCGCCUUUGCUUGCCGACAUCCUCUUCAACAAAGAUUCCUUGGAACUUGGAGUCAGACUAUGGCACCCCAAAACAGAACAUGGAAAUCAACAGUGUUGUCAGAUAGCGGUACGGACAACUUAAUUUUCUGAUAACAACAGCAGGGCGUAAAGUAAUAGCUCCUGAACAAAUUAUGCAGCCAUUACAGUUUAUUUCCUUAUGAUAGAACAGUGUAAAUAAUAGCUCUUGGUCUCUAGUUAAUUAGACAUAAGAGCACAUCUAGCACAUCAUUAUGCUUAUUAAAUUGCACACCUGGAACUGCUCUUGCUGCAUGCCAACGGGGAAGUAGGAUCUUGAGGUUGGUUUGACUCUGGGCAACAGUGAUCGCACAGAAACUGUUCUUCAGUUUGUGAAGGUAGCUGACCUGCAACAUCAGGAGACAUAAGCAAAGGCAACAAAGGAAACUACUACAACUCCCUGAUGAAUUACAUAAGCAUGAAAGUCUCACCGUUGCAGUUCAGACAAUUCGUGCGGGUCCUUGUAAGCAUGGGAUCAAUGCAGGACUGGAUUGUUUUAUCUAGAGAAUCCAAAGGAGAACUUUCACAGGCACGCAGCACAUCCCGCAAGCUAUUACCAUUUGCUAAGUAGAUGUACUCUGCAGGGUGUUUUUUGCUGCUUCCAGCAUGUAGUUCGAAGAAAUAUGUAGUAAUAGCCUGUAAAAUUCAGAAGGAGAACAACAUUAUGUAAACAUUUUUGUGUCCUGCAACGGCUUACAGAUACAGUAGUUAGCACUAACCUAUUUUUCCUUUUUGAAGGGAAGGAAUACUAACCUUGGAGCCAUCACACUUAGCACAAAAGCAACGUAUAUUGCAACCUGCAAUCACACCUUUCAGCACAGGCUUCUGCAACUUGCAAACAACAUUCAUAUUAAUUGCACUGCAUUAAAAUUCCAUGCUCUAAAAAAGAAGGGUAAUAUUUAUAUAUUACACGAGGCAUCUUGAGCAGCAAGAUAUGGGGUUCAUUGCUACUCAUCAUAAUAUAACAUGGCAUAGCUACAAGUGUUGCAUUGAAAACUGAGGCAAAUAAGAUGAGACUGUUGGUCUCCAACAAGUUAUCACACAUUUGAUUGUAACUAGUACCUGGAAGUUCUCAAAUAACAGAAAGUAUCAUCAAAGCUACUGGCAUUCUGUCACAGAUGGAUUCACUAUUGUCAAGGUCUAGCAAAUGACUUAACACGGCAAAAGCAAACACAUGUAUGUAUUGACUGAACAGAAAAACUUCCUGAAUACUGAUUACUCGGCUAACCUAUAAUAUAUCAUGAAGCUUGAAUAAAAUACCGGUGCGGUGAUAGGCUCGUGCAAUCCCCAAAUGGAGUAAAGUGGUGCUGACAGACAAGAAACUGCUGAUAAAACUUAUGACUGAUUGUCUCAUACCUUGCUAUUAGGGAUGAUGUACAUAACCGGCAUUCCCUCGAGCAGUCCUGUGCUGAGCAAAUCUCUGGUGUUGCCUGGGUGCUUUGAGAGGCAGGCAACUUUCUUGGACAUCUUCAUCUCCAUCUUGGUCACCGAUGGAGGGGUCUCUGGUGUGCUCUCAACGGGCUCUUCAGGCACAACCGGAAUGCUGGCAGGAGGCGCCUCAACCUUUGGCUUGAGCAGUGACCUUGUGAACCUCCUCCCUGGUGUUGCAGACAAAUCAAGCGAGGCAUCUCCUAUAAUUUCACUAGCUGCGGUCUCUCUGUCCAGUCCAAGCAGCGACCGUGUGAAGCGUCUUUUAGGCUUGAUGAUCUUGGCAGUGGAAUCUGGUGUGGCGGCAUCCUCAGCGUCCACGGCAGUGGAAGCAGGUAUGGUGGCAUCCUCGGCGGCCACAGGAGGAUCAGCCAACGCAUUGUCCAGCACACUGGGUUCAUUUGAUCCAGCAGUGGACUCGAGCAAAGCCGAAGGUGCAUCCAAUUCCAUGCUAGCGCCCUCUUCAGCGUCCGGCAUUGCAUGCGCAGCAGCAGCGCUGGGCUCGACUCCUGUGGCCUGUGUAGCCGCCUCGCCGGCAGAUUCAGACUCUGUUACAGGAGCAGGGAGUCCAUCCAUUUGGUGCUGAGGGGGGACGGCAGCAUUGGACCCAUCCCGUUCCUCUUCCUUCUUCUUCUCCAUUGGCGCCCGGAAUGAGCAGGGGCCCAUGAGGUCUGCGUCGCCUUGAGCAUUGAGCUGCGCCUCAGCGUCCACCAUGACGACGUCGUCAGAGUGGCUGGCCUUUGGUGACGCCUCGGCGGCAGCAUCUUGGUUGGCCACCGCAUGCGCCUUGGCAGCCAAGGACGGCGCCUCGGGAGCGUUGUGGUUGACCUCGGGCAGCAUCUCGGCAGCCAAGGGCGGCACCUCGGGAGCGUUGUGGCUGACCUUGGGCAGCAUCUCGGCAGCCAAGGGCGGCGCCUCGGUAGCGUUGUGGCUGACCUCGGGCAGCACCUCAGCAGCCAAGGGCGGCAUCUCGGCAGCGUCGUGGCUGACUUCGGGCAGCACCUCGGCAGCGUUGUGGCUGACCUCGGGCAGCAUCUCGGCAGCGUCGUGGCUGACCUUGGGCAGCAGCUCUGCAUCCAGGGGAGCAUCUUGGGUGGCUGCCUCGCGCGGCGCCGGGAGAGCAUCUUGGCUGGCUACGAGGGGGUCCAAGGGUAACCCAUCGGCGGCGUGGUGAGUGGCAGCGAAAAGCGGCAGCACCUCCGCAUCUUCGGGCGGCAGGAGGGCAGCAUCGAGGGGGGCGGCGUGGUGGGGGGCGGGCUUGGGCGCCUCGGCGUCGAGGGGCGGGGUGGGCGGGGAGACCAGAUCCGGGGGCGGGGUGGGCGGGGGGUCGGAUCUGGCGGCGGCCUUCCGGCGCUUGGCCGGCGAGGAGGGGAGGGAGGGGCAGGCGAGAAGGGAGCGGCCGGAGCGGGUGCGGCCGGGGGACGCCGUGAUCUCCGACAACGACUGCAGCGCGAAGGCCAGCUCCCGCUUCAUGGCCCGCGGCGCCGCCGGGGACGACGCGCCCCCGCCGCCUCCUCCGCCGUCGCCGCCGCCCGUGGAGGCGGCGGUCAUGGGGGGCCGACCGGCGGCGGGAUCGGGCGGCCGGGGACGGAUGGAUCCGCUAGGGUUUGGAUGGAUCGGGGUGGAGUCGGAGACGGAGCGAGGAAGGAGAGGAGCGCCCGUCUCGUUUGUUUAUUCUUUUUCCUUCCUCUGCUCCGUCCAAAAGACCAAAAUACCCCUCCCCUCGCCUCCUUCCUUCAUGCCCAAGGCCUCCCAUCUUUAUCCUAAUCUUCCAUUUAAUGCCAUGCAAUUUUCUAGUGUUUCCUGCCACAAAUUGCUUUUCAAAAGGAUAUAUAUGACCUAAUUUUUGUGCUAUGUUAUAUGGUUGGUAUGGCAUUGUGUUUUUUCGGUCUGUAUCUAUAUCUGGCCGAGAACACGGCCAGAGGGAGAAAACGCGUGUGCGGUCCUUUUCGGCAUCCGGGGGGAGCGUGGCUCGUAAAUGCGCCAGCUCAGAGGUGUCGUCGCUGCUGUCAUGCCUAUCUUGCUUCUGUCUCCACGCGGUCCGUGUCGUGUCAUCCAGCUCAGUAGAACUUUGUCCCUGCGCGGUAUGUGACGUCUCGGGUUCGACUUCUGGAUCUUUUUAUUUUCAUGUUUUGCAUUUUUGUAUUCUGAAAAAAAAAUACAGAGCUGAAUGAACGGACACUCGAACCGGAGACCUCUCUCGAAAUAUCGAGAAGGGGACUAGGUUGCUACCAACACACUAGAACCAACUCCUGUAAAAAUACUUAAGACCCUACCUACUUUACUCGGUCCGGGGCCGAUCGGCGGCUGGAUCGGGCAGUCGGGGAGUAUUUUUGCUCGGUAUGGGCCCCGGGCGCCCGAUCCAGCCACCGAUCGGGCGUUUGAAUUCAAAAUUUUCAAAAGAAGGUAUUUUUGCUCGGUAUGGGGAUUUACCAGGGGUGUCGAAAUACUCGGUAACCACGGGAAAAUCUUGAAAUUUUGUUAGGUGAAAAGAACCUUGGGGGGUGGUGUUUCUUCGUCUUGGCGAAAAGGAAAGACCAAUGGGUUGGUCUAGGGUCUCUUUGGUCAAGAACACAAUCAUGGUGAAAACGUGUUUGUGGUUUUUUAUCUUUUCAUUUGGGUAAUAUUGAUGUCUUGCAAAUGCAACAAGCUCAGAGAGAUCGACGAUGCAAUGUAUCCCUUGUUUCUUUCUUUUUCAAUGGUUCUAGAGUAGGCAUGUCAGACGAAACCAACUAAGGCGACAAUAGAUGCGGGGUUUGGACUCUUUGUAUACAGCCAAACACACAGUCGUGGUGAAAACGUGUGUGUGGUCUCUUAUGGUUUCGGCAUUGGUGGGGCUCGGGGGUCAUAAAUGCGGCCAGCUCAAAAAUAUCGUUGGUAUCGUGUUUAUGGUGUUUCUUUCUUUUGCAUUGGUUCGAGGAAAUGUAACUUUGAGAGGUCCACCUAAGACUGUAAAAGAAAGACCAUUGAUGUCCAAACGAAAUGAUGUCUGUAGACCCCGAGGAGAACCGAGUGAACCGGUACGUUGCCCCGAGGUCACUUGGCGGUGGCAUAUCGGGUAAUUAUGUCCAACUCGGCCUCCUAUAAUUUUGGAAGCGCGGUCCGACCUGCUUCUCAUUUUUGCAAUGCGAGGAUAGUCUGCUCCGCGAAGCUCUUAUAUUUGUUUACAGAGGAAGAGGAAGUAUUGUUUUGUUUACGGGGCUCGGGGAGUUGACAUGAGGGGGGAGCGUAGUUUUAUAUGGAUGGGGUGGAGGGAGGGAGGGGCAAUAUGGGGAGAGUGGGGUGAUGUUUGUGUUGCAGCCUUGCAGGAGGGGGUUCAAAAUAGGCAACAAAGGUGCACGUCACCACGCUCGUAUAACUUCCUCCCUUCCACUACUAACGGUCUCUCGCUUCGCUUCCCGCGCGCGCACAUGCCAUGCAUGCACACACGUACAGCACGUACGUAGGCCACUCCACAUACGUGUUGCAUUGCAUGCAUGAGCGAGUGAGUGAGGAUUUAGUGCAAGAUUUGGCCGCACGCCACAUGCAUGCUGCUCGAUUCGAACGGUGCCAAAUCGCGGGGAACCAUGCACCGAUGCACCUACACAAGUUGCCAACGUACGAGCAGUCUUCUCCUUCUUCUUCUCGUCUCUGCUAUACUCCCUCCGUUCCUGAAUAUAAGUCCUUUUAAAGAUUCCAAUUAAUAUGGACCACAUAUAGAGCAAAAUGAGUGAAUCUACGCUCUAAACUACUCCCUCCGUUCCUAAAUAUAAGUCUUUGUAGAGAUUUCACUAUGAACUAGAUACGGAUGUAUAUAGAUGCAUUUUAAGUGUGGAUUCAUUCAUUUUACUUCGUAUGUAGUCCACCUAGUGGAAUCUCUACAAAGACUUACAUUUAGGAACGGAGGGAGUAUUUUUUAUUGCCAAAGGAACUCAUCACAUGGUAUUACACCCGAUCAAGAGUUUCUUCUUUGCACCAUACCAUGUGUUUCAGUUUUGAUUUGGUGGGUUUUAUCCACGCCUGUAGAAUCCGGCACCAGUGCGAACUCGUGUGUCUUCGAUCUUCUAGACGAGCAAUGCUGCCGGUACGCGAAAUCGAUGUCCAUGAAAACAAAUGGACAAAACCGCGACAACCCGUUUUCCAUCGUCUUUGUUUAUUCCUUUUUUCCUUUCACAAACUGGGUUGCCCAUGUAGGAGUUUUCGAUGACCGCCCCCGUAGGGGGAAGGACGGGGUACAGAUCAGUGAGUGAAAAGUUGGGAACGGGGUUCAACUCACUACAUAUCUAUGGAUUAACCCAUGUCCAAAUCCCUAGAGGUCGGCAAGCCGAAACAUUAGUUCAAAACCAAAUCAACAAACACAACAUUGCCUGACUCUAGUGGCUCUCGCGUACGUGAGAGGCUCUAAGCAACUAUCACCGCCAUUGCCCUCAAGAGGGCUAUAAGUCACCCCAUAAUUCAUCGCGCCAACCUUUUAUGGCAUCACAAAUGCCUCGCAUAUCGAAAGACCUGACAGUGGUUCAAGGGGGUCACACACGGAACAUAGUUUCCAAAGGGGGUUUAAUCACCUUUCGACUGAAAGUACUCUCUAUCAUGACACUUCCAAAUGCCCCCAAACGGUCGUAAGGCUCGCUGAAUAAAAUCGUCCACACCUUUUUCAAACAAUUAUGCAUCCGAAGCAAAAAUAUUGCCAAAUAGACAUGGGAUCAAACCGUUUCUCCUUCUCCCUAGCAUGCUUGCCAAAGAAACUCAUCACAUAGUAUUACACCCGAUCAAGAGUUUUGUUUUUUACUUCUUUGCUUUUAUCAGGCUCGAAGACACCGGGCAACCGCGCCAGGAGAAGCCAACACUAGGGUGAAGACAUGCGUAUAGUUUUUCAAUAUUUCCAUUAUGGCAAUUUGUUGGUGAACCGUGAAUGCAACCAACUAAAAGGAAGCGCCACUGCCAGUAGGUCAUCCUUGGUCGUGUUCGGCGCAUUAAUGGGGCAACAAUCCCCGUCGAACAUCUACCCAAAAUAGCGAUGUGUCGACACUCUUAGCCAGGCCACACCUGGUGCGAAACGGAAUGGCAAGUCGAUCGCGGUUGGAUUUUCCAACGCCCGUAUAUCAUAUAAAAAGGAAAUUUUCGACGAACCGACACUAGGGGGGGGGGAGGGGCUUUAGUCCCCAUCCUUUAGUGCCGGUUGCAGACCCGGCACUAAAGGUCCUUACAAAUCGGGACUAAAGCAUGAUUCUGCACUAGUGAAACUCACACAUACACAUAAGCUAUGCUCAUGUCUCGGACCUGGCCCAAAAAUGCUGGAUACGCCACCUGCACUAGGGCGUUCUUGGUCGGAUUAGCUCCCACGUGAAGGGGGCGAGGACUUAGGUUGAACCGUUGAUUGAAAGCAGCCGCGUGGACGGGUUGAGGUCGUCCGAUGCGAAACGAAACGAUGACUCUGGACCUCGGGGUGGGGUGUUUAAAGAUUUGGCUCGAUUGGGAGGGGGAGCUGAACACCGGUGGCCACGCUACUAAAACUAAUUUCGAAAUGUGUUGAAAAAACUAAUAAUCCAAAUGGGACACAAGUGGUGUUAAUUAGCUAGAGGGGACGAAGGAGCAUGGUUAGUACCUCCUCCUCCUCCUCUCCGGCAUUGUUGUCAAAUGAGCUAGCCACAUGGUGUUACAUCCGGUCAAUAGGUUCCUAGCUACUCCCUUGCAUUAUAUCACGUGUUUUUGUUUUGGUUAUGGGUUUCACCAGGCUCGCUCGACGAAACCGGGCAUCCGCGCCUAGAGAAGCUGGCACUGGAGUGAGCUCGUGUGUCUUCCAUCUUUGGAUGAGCAAUGCUGCCGGUACGCGAAAUCGAUGUCCGUAAAAAUCAAUGGUCAAAACCGGCAACCUGUUUUCCAUCGUCUUUGUUUAUUUCCCUUUUUCUUCACAGACUGGAUUGCCCCAUGUAGGAUUUUUCGAUGACUGCCUCCCAAGGGGAACAACAUGGUACGAAACAGCGAGUGAAAAGUUGGGAACGGGGUUCAACUCACUGCAUAUGGAUAAACCCAUGUCCAAACCCCUAGAGGCUGGCAAGCCACAACCUUGGUAGAAAACCAAAUCAACAAACAUAACAUUGCCCGACUCUAGUGGCUCUCACGUAUGUGAGAGGCUCUAAGCAACUAUCGCCGCCAUCACCCUCAAGAGAGCUAUAAGUCACCACAUAAUUCAUUGUGCCAACCUUUUAUGGCAUCACAAACGUCUCGCAUACCGAAAGACCCGACAGUGGUUCAAGGUGGGUCACGCAUUAAACACGGUAUCCAAAGGGGGUUUAAUCACCUUCCGACUCAAAGUGCUCACUAUCAUGACACUAAACCUUUCAGAAAGCACAAAAGUAAUUAAUGUUGGUUGGGAUUUCUGCUCUGUUUUGGUCCAUUUCAAAAUGCAGAAAUGAUAUUGUGUUUAGAUCCAAGAAUUUUCAUGAUCCCAUGAUCAUUGUCGGAACUUUAUGCAACCGGAUUAUUGAUUGGGUUGUUUUGCAAAGAAAAAACCCAGAGCAAAAGUUGUUGAUGUUGGGAGCAAGACUAAUAAAGCGGGUGGCAAAUGAGAUUUAUCAAGUGUCGCAAGGAUGGAGACCGGGGGUGAGAAGACUGGGUUGCUGAUCGAUGGGACUUCUCUAUUCCUACUUCACCAAUGGCGUCUCAUAUCGCUUGUUGCUUUCCUAUUUUGAACAUGUGGUCUUGAUUUGCUGGGUAAACCUUGAUGUAAUAGGGCCUGGUAGUCAUUUGCCUCUUAUUUUGAGUUUUAAUAUUUUAGUUGAUAACCUAACUAGCAGUGCUGAAACGACUUUGUCAUGCCUCGUUUGGUUUCGUUAAUGAAAUCGGAGGGGCCCCCCCUCUUUUAAUAAAAAAAUAUCCCGUGGCCACACUAGUCAAACCAGUUUCCAAAUGGGGCAUAAAUCAUUGUUGUUCAUCAGAGGGGAGGAAGGAAGGAACAUGGUUUACUUUUUUUUUGCAUAGUAAUACGUGUCUCAUUCAUAUGAUAAAAAUCAAAGUACAAAUCACGUAAGGACCGACAUGACAAAACUGAAAAGAUAGCAAAACAUCUCUGAGUUUGACACCAAAGGUCAUCACCUGCCUAGCCACAGAAGAAUAGAAUGAUGGAUCACCUCCUCACCCGAGCUCGACGCGGCUCCAUCGCUGAUAUGCAGCUUUGUGGACCUCCAAGGUGGCUCGCCAAAAGUGAAGCCACUGCGGUUGAACGAAUCAGACCGGGGCAACACCUCGGACAUGUCAUCGAACUCCAGAUCCGACACCCCACCAUGACUAAGACGUCGAAGGAGGAAACCAUGCCUGCCAUCCAUCAACCACGAACCCAAUACACGCUCCGUCUUCCCGAUAUCGUCAAUGCAGACCACAAUCUGCAUUCGCUCCUGGACUACCUCCAUAACAUGCAUGCACAUAACGGUCUCUCAAUCUUCCCACGCGCGCGCAUAUAUCCACAUGACAUGCAUGCACGCACGUACCAGUACUUACUUACGUAGGUGAGCUCCCACUCCACUCUGCGCUACGUACUCCCGGUCGGAACGUACGAGUUGCAUGCAUGAGCGAGUGAGGAUUUAGUGUGAGAUUUGGCCACAACGUGCUCGAUUCAAACGGUGCCUACGUGCAUGAUGCUCGAUUCAAAAGGUAGCCAAAUCGCCGGUAGCCAUGUGCGCACGCACACAAGUUGCCAACCAGCAGUCUUAACCGCUUCUCCUUCUUGUUCUCGUCUCUCGCAUUUUAUUUGUUUUUUUUUUGCGUGAAAACUCCCGUUCUAUUUAUCUUCAAUCAUGACAGUAAAUUAGCACCACAAAUAAUAAAAAUAACAUCCAGAUCCGUAGACCACCUAGCGAUGACUAUGAGGACUGAAGCGAGCCGAAGGUGCGCCGCCGUCAUCGCCCCUCCCUCUCUGGAGCCGGGCAAAAUUUGUUGUAGUAGACAGUCGGAAAGUCUCUUGCAUUAUUUAUUGCCAAAGGAACUCAUCACAUAGUAUCACACCCGUUCAAGAUCUUUUUUUUACUUCUUUGCAUUAUACCAUGUGUUUUGGGUUUGAUUUGGUGGGUUCUAUCGGGCUCGACAACACCAGGCAUCCGCGCCAGGAGAAGCCAGCACCGGGGUGAGCUCGUGUGUCUUCGGUCUUCAGACGAGCAAUGCUGCUGGUACGCGAAAUCGAUGUCCCUAAAAAUCAAUGGACAAAACCGACAACCUGUUUUCCGUCGUAUGCACCAACCUUUUAUGGUAUCACAAAUGCCUUGCAUACCGAAAGACCCGAUAGUGCAAGGGGGGUCACACAUGAAACACCGUAUCCAAAAGGGGUUUAAUCACCUUACGAAUGAAAGUGCUCACUGUCAUGACACUUCAAAACGCGCCCCAAACUGUCAUAAGUAAAAAUCAACCACAUCCUUUUUCAAAGAAUUAUGCAUCCGAAUCAAAAAUAUUGUCAAAUAGACGCGGGAUCAAAUAGGUAAACCNNNNNNNNNNNNNNNNNNNNNNNNNNNNNNNNNNNNNNNNNNNNNNNNNNNNNNNNNNNNNNNNNNNNNNNNNNNNNNNNNNNNNNNNNNNNNNNNNNNNNNNNNNNNNNNNNNNNNNNNNNNNNNNNNNNNNNNNNNNNNNNNNNNNNNNNNNNNNNNNNNNNNNNNNNNNNNNNNNNNNNNNNNNNNNNNNNNNNNNNNNNNNNNAUGUAUCACCCAGGAAACAAAUGAGAUGGAAACUCAUCCACAUGGCAAAAUAAACAUUUAUCUUUCCCCAUCCGUUGACGCUUUAUCAUAUUAUGUGUUAGGCAUGGCUCUAAAACAACAACCACAUAUAAAAUUUGUAUCUUCUUAGACAUCUUACCUUUUUGUUGUCAUUUUGUCAAAAAUAAGAAUAUUGUACUAGUUAUUAUGGGAUGGUGUAUGCUUCUUCGUCUUUAAUGUAGCAUGCAUGUUACUUCAUUUUUGAAAGUAAAAGAUGGAUGCUUGUUACAUUUAUGAAUAAAGUGAUGAAACGAUAGAUGAUUACCAAAGUAAACACCUAGAUGAUUACCAAAGUAGACAUUUUCCAUGUUACUUCUUCGUAUUUAAUGUAGCAUGCAUGAAGCGUAACUACUUAUAUUGAACUCACAUCAGAGACUAUGAGGAGGGACAAUGGGAUCGAUCAUGGAGGAGGAAGAAGAAAGAAAACUAGGAAAAUAUGUGUGACUAGCCUUGGCAAUGACAUGGCCAGGGAGGCCAACAUGACUCCCGAUUGGUAAUGAGUGGCACAAUGAGCUUAGAAGAAUGCACAAUGGUUGUAGUGGCACCACAUAUUGACACAAUUGACAACUGCAAUGCACCAUGGUGAGUUUCAUUUGAAUGGUCAUUAGUUACUAGUCGUAACAUUUGAGUGUCAUCAUGCUAACGAGACAUUGCAAAUGAUCUUUGGUGCAGCGUAACUCCAGACAAGCAUCGCACGAUCCUUCUCCAGGUGGUACCGGCACGAGCAACCCCGGUGCUUCACCUCCGUGAUGACGGUAAGUUUUCUCUAGUGUUUUGCUUAAGAAAUGCAUAAUGACCUAGACUUAGCUUUACUUCCUCCAAUAUGCUUACCAUAAUGACCUAAGUCUAAUAUGCUAAGUUAGCUCUGAAGGAAAUAUGCCCUAGAGGCAAUAAUAAAGUUGUUAUUUAUACUUCCUUAUAUCAUGAUAAAUGUUUAUUAUUCAUGCUACAAUUGUAUUAACCGGAAACUUAGUACAUGUGUGAAUACAUAGACAAACAGAGUGUCACUAGUAUGCCUCUACUUGACUAGCUCGUUGAAUCAAAGAUGGUUAUGUUUCCUAGCCAUAGACAUGAGUUGUCAUUUGAUUAACGUCAUCACAUCAUUGGAGAUGAUGUGAUUGACUUGACCCAUUUCGUUAGCUUAGCAUUUGAUCUUUUAGUAUGUUGCUAUUGCUUUCUUCAUGACUUAUACAUGUUCCUAUGACUAUGAGAUUAUGCAACUCCCGAAAACCGGAGGAACACUCUGUGUGCUACCAAACGUCACAAUGUAACUGGGUGAUUAUAAAGGUGCUCUAUAGGUGUCUCCGAUGGUACUCGUUGAGUUGGCAUAGAUCAAGAUUAGGAUUUGUCACUCCGAUUGUCGGAGAGGUAUCUCUGGGCCCUCUCGGUGAUGCACAUCACUAUAAGCCUUGCAAGCAAUGUGACUAAAUGAGUUAGUCGCGGGAUGAUGCAUGAUAACCCACAAGUAUAGGGGAUCGCAACAGUUUUCGAGGGUAGAGUAUUCAACCAAAAUUUAUUGAUUCGACACAAGGGGAGCCAAAGACUAUUCUCAAGUAUUAGCAGUUGAGUUAUCAAUUCAACCAUAUGGCGAGACUUGGUCUAUCAUAUGGUGUAAGACAUAUGCACUCUAUCAUACUUUAUUGAGCUUAUGAUAUAUUGUGCUAGUUAUGUUAUGCUCACAUUUACUAUCUUGUUUAGUGUUAGCCUUAUUGUUGCAAGAUAUGCAUUGUUUAUAAAAUAUAGGGGUGUGUUGAUCCUAGUAUAUGUGCCGUGCAGUCCAAAGCACUUAUCUAGAUAGCACGCAUCUAGGGGGAGCUCGUAUAUAUUUUAGAGAUGUGGGGUUUGCUUAUGUUCUAUAUUAUUUCCCUUUGUGCAAAUCCCGUACUGUCAUCAGUCCACCAAAAAGGGGGAGAUUGUAAGGGCAUAUUUAGCCCUAAGGUGUUUUGGUGAUUGAUGACAAUGCUUUUGCGGACUAAUCGUGUGCCUUGAGUAUUUCAGUCGCUUCGUCACUAGGCACAAGACGGUUUGGUACCCCUCGAAGACUAUUGAAGACGGCGGUGUUCUACGUCUCUUUUGGUGGAUUUGAAUCGUAUGAUAGCCGUACUAUUAAGAGGGGGUCCGCGUUGGAAAGGUUUGGGUGGAAUCAUCACGUACACGUUUACUCCCUUUGGACCACCUUUCCCUUUGUGCUUUGGAGCAUCCUCCGUUUUGUUCAUAUUUUGCAAAGAGAAUGAUUCCUAGUGUUGCUGUUCUGAGGCAUGCGGUAGUACUUCUCUUAGGAGCGGUAGUACCACAGUCCGCCGCGGUAGUACCGCAAGCCUUUGCGGUAGUACCGUAGGUGGACACGGUAGUACCGCUCCUUAGGAGGUGUAGUACCGUGGCCUCGGACUAGACUCAGCCGCUCAUGCGGCUGUAGGGUGAUGACCCACAAGUAUAGGGGAUCUAUCAUAGUCCUUUCGAUAAGUAAGAGUGUCGAACCCAACGAGGAGCAGAAGGAAAUGACAAGCGGUUUUCAGUAAGGUAUUCUCUGCAAGCACUGAAAUUGUAGGUAACAAAUAGUUUUGUGAUAAGAUAAUUUGUAACGGGUAACAAGCAAUGAAAGUAAUAAAGUGCAGCAAGGUGGCCCAAUCCUUUUUGUAGCAAAGGACAAGCCUGGACAAUUUCUUAUAAUGAGAAAAGCGCUCCCGAGGACACAUGGGAAUUAUCGUCAAGCUAGUUUUCAUCACGCUCAUAUGAUUCGCGUUCGGUGCUUUGAUAAUUUGAUAUGUGGGUGGACUGGUGCUUGGGUACUGCCCUUAUUUGGACAAGCAUCCCACUUAUGAUUAACCCCUAUUGUAAGUAUCUGCAACUACAAAAGAAGUAUUAAUGUAAACCUAACCAUAGCAUGAAACUAGUGGAUCCAAAUCAGCCCCUUACGAAGCAACGCAUAAACUAGGGUUUAAGCUUCUGUCACUCUAGCAACCAAUCAUCUACUUAUUACUUCCCAAUGCCUUCCUCUAGGCCCAAAUAAUGGUGAAGUGUCAUGUAGUCGACGUUCACAUAACACCACUAGAGGAGAGACUGAAGGAAAUAUGCCCUAGAGGCAAUAAUAAAGUUAUUAUUUAUUUCCUUAUAUCAUGAUAAAUGUUUAUUAUUCAUGCUAGAAUUGUAUUAACCGAAAACAUAAUACAUGUGUGAAUACAUAGACAAACAGAGUGUCACUAGUAUGCCUCUACUUGACUAGCUCGUGAAUCAAAGAUGGUUAAGUUUCCUAACCAUAGACAUGAGUUGUCAUUUGAUUAACGGGAUCACAUCAUUAGGAGAAUGAUGUGAUUGACUUGACCCAUUCCGUUAGCAUAGCACCCGAUCGUUUAGUGUAUUGCUAUUGCUUUCUUCAUGACUUAUACAUGUUCCUAUGACUAUGAGAUUAUGCAACUCCCGUUUAUCGGAGGAACACUUUGUGUGCUACCAAACGUCACAACGUAACUGGGUGAUUAUAAAGGAGCUCUACAGGUGUCUCCGAAGGUACAUGUUGGGUUGGCGUAUUUCGAGAUUAGGAUUUGUCACUCCGAUUUGUCGGAGAGGUAUCUCUGGGCCCUCUCGGUAAUGCACAUCACUAUAAGCCUUGCAAGCAAUGUAGCUAAUGAGUUAGUUACGGAAUGAUGCAUUAAGUAACGAGUAAAGAGACUUGCCGGUAACAAGAUUGAACUAGGUAUUGGAUACCGACGAUCGAAUCUCGGGCAAGUAACAUACCGAUGACAAAGGGAACAACGUAUGUUAUUAUGCGGUCUGACUGAUAAAGAUCUUCGUAGAAUAUGUGGGAGCCAAUAUGAGCAUCCAGGUUCCACUAUUGGUUAUUGACCGGAGACGUUUCUCGGUCAUGUCUACAUAGUUCUCGAACCCGUAGGGUCCGCACGCUUAAGGUUUCGAUGACAGUUAUAUUAUGAAUUUAUGAGUUUUGAUGUACCGAAGGAGUUCGGAGUCCCAAAUGAGAUCGGGGACAUGACGAGGAGUCACGCAAUGGUCGAGGCAUAAAGAUUGAUAUAUUGGACGACUAUAUUCGGAGUUCGGAAAGGUUCUGAGUGAUUCGGAUAUUUUUCGGAGUACCGGAGAGUUACGGGAAUUCGCCGGGGAGUAUAUGGGCCUUAUUGGGCUUUAGGGGAAAGAGAGAGGAGAGGAUGGGCGCCCCCCCAAGGCCUAGUCCGAAUUGGACUAGGGGGCCUCCUUCCCCCUUGCUCCUUUAUAUACGGGGGCAGGGGGGCACCUCUAGGCAGAACAACAAUUGAUCUCUUGAUCUCUUAGCCGUGUGCGGUGCCCCCCUCCACCAUAGUCCCCCUUGAUAAUAUUAUAGCGGUGCUUAGGCGAAGCCCUGCGACGGUAGAACAUCAAGAUCGUCACCACGCCAUCGUGCUGACGGAACUCUCCCUCGACACUCGGCUAGAUCGGAGUUCGAGGGACGUCAUUGAACUGAACGUGUGCUAGAACUCGGAGGUGCCGUAGUUACGGUGCUUGACCGGUCGGGCCGUGAAGACGUACGACUACAUCAACCGCGUUGUUCUAACGCUUCCGCUUUCGGUCUACGAGGGUACGUGGACACACUCUUCCCUCUCGUUGCUAUGCAUCACCAUGAUCUUGCGUGUGCGUAGGAAUUUUUUUGAAAUUACUACGUUCCCCAACAGUGGCAUACGAGCGUGGUUUUAUGCGUAGAUGUCAUAUGCACGAGUAGAACACAAGUGAGUUGUGGGCGAUAUAAGUCAUACUGCUUACCAGCAUGUCAUACUUUGGUUCGGCGGUAUUGUUGGAUGAAGCGGCCCGGACCGACAUUAUGCGUAUGCUUACGCGAGACUGGUUCUACCGACGUGCUUUGCACACAGGUGACUGGCGGGUGUCAGUUUCUCCAACUUUAGUUGAACCGAGUGUGGCUACGCCCAGUCCUUGCGAAGGUUAAAAAAACACCAACUUGACAAACUAUCGUUGUGGUUUUGAUGCGUAGGUAAGAACGGUUCUUGCUAAGCCCGUAGCAGCCACGUAAAACUUGCAACAACAAAGUAGAAGAUGUCUAACUUGUUUUUGCAGGGCAUGUUGUGAUGUGAUAUGGUCAAGACAUGAUGCUAAAUUUCAUUGUAUGAGAUGAUCAUGUUUUGUAACAGAGUUAUCGGCAACUUGCAGGAGCCAUAUGGUUGUCGCUUUAUUGUAUGCAAUGCAAUCGCCCUGUAAUGCUUUACUUUAUCACUAAGCACUAGUGAUAGUCGUAGAAGCAUAAGAUUGGCGAGACGACAAUGAUGCUACGAUGGAGAUCAAUGUGUCGCGCCAGUGACAAUGGUGAUCAUGACGGUGCUUCGAAGAUGGAGAUCACAAGCACAAGAUGAUGAUGGCCAUAUCAUAUCACUUAUAUUGAUUGCAUGUGAUGUUUAUCUUUUAUGCAUCUUAUCUUGCUUUGAUUGACAGUAGCAUUAUAAGAUGAUCCGUCACUAAAUUAUCAUAGUAAAAGUGUUCUCCCUGAGUAUGCACCAUUGCAAAAGUUCUUCGUGCUGAGACACCACGUGAUGAUCGGGUGUGAUAGGCUCUACGUUCAAAUACAACGGGUGCAAAACAGUUGCACACGCGGAAUACUCAGGUUAAACUUGACGAGCCUAGCAUAUAACAGAUAUGGCCUCGGAACACGGAGACCGAAAGGUCGAGCGUGAAUCAUAUAGUAGAUAUGAUCAACAUACUGAUGUUCACCGUUGAAACUACUCCAUCUCACGUGAUGAUCGGACAUGGUGUACUUGAUAUGGAUCACGUAAUCACUUAGAGGAUUAGAGGGAUGUCUAUCUAAGUGGGAGUUCUUUAGUAAUAUGAUUAAUUGAACUUAAAUUUAUCAUGAACUUAGUCCUGGUAGUAUUUUGCAAAUUAUGUUCUAGAUCAAUAGCUUGUGUUGUUGCUUUCAUAUGUUUAUUUUGAUAUGUUCCUAGAGAAAAUUGUGUUGAAAGAUGUUAGUAGCAAUGAUGCGGAUUGGAUCCGUGAUCUGAGGUUUAUCCUCAUUGCUGUACAGAAGAAUUAUGUCCUUAAUGCACCGCUAGGUGACAGACCUAUUGCAGGAGCAGAUGCAGACGUUAUGAACGUUUGGCUAGCUCAAUAUGAUGACUACUUGAUAGUUUAGUGCAUCAUGCUUAACGGCUUAGAAUCGGGACUUCAAAGACGUUUUGAACGUCAUGGACCAUAUGAGAUGUUCCAGGAGUUGAAGUUAAUAUUUCAAGCAAAUACCCGAGUUGAGAGAUAUGAAGUCUCCAACAAGUUCUAUGGCUAAAAGAUGGAGGAGAAUCGCUCAACUAGUAAGCAUGUGCUCAGAUUGUCUGCGUACUACAAUCGCUUGAAUCAAGUGGGAGUUAAUCUUCCAGAUAAGAUAGUGAUUGACAGAAUUCUCUAGUCACCAUCACCAAGUUAGUAGAACUUUGUGAUGAACUAUAGUAUGCAAGGGAUGACGAAAACGAUUCCCAAGCUCUUCGUGAUGUUGAAAUCGACGAAGGUAGAAAUCAAGAAAGAGCAUCAAGUGUUGAUGGUUGACAAGAUCACUAGUUUCAAGAAAAGGGCAAAGGGAAAGAAAGGGAACUUCAACUAGAAUGACAAGCAAGUUGUCACUCCCACGAAGAAGCCCAUAGCUGAACCAAAACCUGAAACUGAGUGCUUACACUGCAAAGGAAAUGGUCACUGAAAACGGAAAUACCCCGAAUAUUUGGUGGAUAAGAAGGAUGGCAAAACUGAACAAGGGUAUAUUUGAUAUACAGGUUAUUGAUGUGUACCUUACUAGUGUUUAUAGUAACCCCUGAGUAUUUGAUACUUGUUCGGUUGCUAAGAUUAGUAACUCGAAACAGGAGUUACAGAAUAAACAGAAACUAGUUGAGGGUGAAGUGACGAUCUGUGUUGGAAGUGGUUCCAAGAUUGAUAUGAUCAUCAUCGCACACUCCCUAUACUUUCGGGAUUAGUGUUGAACCUAAAUAAAUGUUAUUUGGCAUUUGCGUUGAGCAUGAAUAUGAUUUGAUCAUGUUUAUUGCAAUACAGUUAUUCAUUUAAAAUCAGAGAAUAAUUGUUGUUCUGUUUAAAUGAAUAAAACCUUUGAUGGCCAUACACCCAAUGAAAAUAGUUUGUUGGAUCUCGAUCGUAGUGAUACACAUAUUCAUAAUAUUGAUGCCAAAAGAUGCAAAGUUGAUAAUGAUAGUGCAACUUAUUUGUGGCACUGCCGUUUGGGUCAUAUCGGUGUAAAGCACAUGAAGAAACUCCAUAAAGAUGGAUUUUUGGAAUCUCUUGGUUAUGAAUCAUUUGAUGCUUGCGAACCGUGCCUUUUGGGCAAGAUGACUAAAACUCCAUUCUCCGGAACAAUGGAACGAGCUAGUGACUUAUUGGAAAUAAUACAUACCGGUGCAUGCGGUCCAAUGAGUGUUGAUGCUCGUGGUGGGUAUCGUUAUUUUCUAACCUUCACAAGAUGAAUUGAGCAGAUAUGAGUAUAUCUACUUAAUGAAGCAAAAGUCUAAAACAUUUGAAAAGUUCAAAGAAUUUCAGAGUGAAGUGGAGAAUCAUCGUAACAAGAAAAUAAAGUUUCUGCAAUUUGAUCGCGGAGACGAAUAUUUGAGUUACGAGUUUGGUCUUCAUUUGUAACAAUGUGAAAUAGUUUCGCAACUCACGCCACUUGGAACACCACAAUGUAAUGGUGUGUCCGAACGUCGUAAUCGUACUUUACUAGAUGUGGUGCGAUCUAUGAUGUCUCUUAUCGGUUUACCACUAUUGUUUUGGGGUUAUGCAUUAGAGACAGCUGCAUUCACGUUAAACAGGGCACCAUCAAAAUCCGUUGAGACGACACCUUAUGAACUGUGGUUUGGCAAGAAACCAAAGUUGUCAUUUCUGAAAGUUUGGGGCUGUGAUGCUUAUGUGAAAAAAGUUUCAACCUGAUAAGCUCGAACCCAAAUCAGAGAAGUGCGUCUUCAUAGAAUACCCAAAGGAAACUGUUGGGUACAACUUCUAUCACAGAUCCGAAGGCAAGAUAUUCGUUACUAAGAUGGAUCCUUUCUAGAGAAGGAGUUUCUCUCGAAAGAAGUGAGUGGGAGGAAAGUAGAACUUGAUAAGGUAACUGUACCUUCUCCUGAAUUGGAAAAUAGUUCAUCACUGAAAACAGUUCCAGUGAUUCCUAUACCAAUUAGUGAGGAAGCUAAUGAUGAUGAUCAUGAAACUUCAGAACAAGUUACUACAGAACCUCGUAGGUCUUCCAGAGUACGGUCCACACUAGAGUGGUACGGUAAUCCUGUUUUGGAAGUCAUGUUACUAGACCAUGAUAAACCUACGAACUAUGAGGAAGCGAUGGUGAGCCCAGAUUCCGCAAAAUGGCUUGAGGCCAUGAAAUCUGAGAUGGGAUCCAUGUAUGAGAACAAAGUAUGGACUUUGGUUGACUUGCUCGAUGAUCAACAAGCCAUGGUAAAUUAAUGGAUCUUCAAGAGGAAGACGGACACUGAUAGUAGUGUUACUAUCUACAAAGCUCGACUUGUUGCGAAAGGUUUUCGACAAGUUCAAGGUGUUGAAUAUGAUGAUAUUUUCUCACUCGUAACGAUGCUUAAGUCUGUCCGAAUCAUGUUAGCAAUUGCCACAUUUUAUGAAAUCUGGCAAAUGGAUAUCAAAACUGUGUUCCUGAAUGGAUUUCUGGAAGAAAAGUUGUAUAUGAUACAACCAAAAGGUUUUGUCGAUCCGAAAGGUGCUAACAAAAUGUGCAAGCUCCAGCGAUCCAUCAAUGGACUGGUGGAAGCAUCUCGGAGUUGGAACAUACGCUUUGAUGAGUUGAUCAAAGCAUAUGGUUUUAUACAGACUUUUGGAAAGGCCUGUAUUUACAAGAAAGUGAGUGGGAGCACUACAACCUUUCUGAUAAGUAUAUGUGAAUGACAUAUUAUUGAUCAGAAAUGAUGUAGAAUUUUCUGAAAAGCAUAAAGGAGUGUUUGAAAGGAGUUUUUCAAAGAAAGACCUCAGUAAAGCUACUUACACAUUGAGCAUCAAGAUCUAUAGAGAUAGAUCAAGACGUUUGACAAGAUUUUUCAAUGAGUACAUACCUUGACAAGAUUUUGAAGUAGUUCAAAAUGGAACAGUCAAAGAAAGAGUUCUUGCCUGUGAUGCAAAGGUGUGAAGUUGAGUAAGACUCAAAACCCGACCAUGGCAGAAAAUAGAAAGAGAAUGAAAAGUCAUAUCCUAUGCCUCAGUCAUAGGUUCUAUAAAGUAUGCUAUGUUGUGUACCAGACCUAUUGUAUACCUUGCUCUGAGUUUAGCAAAGGAAUACAAUUUUGAUCUAAGAGAAUAUCCUUAGUGAGGACUAAGGAGAUGUUUCUCGAUUAUGGAGGUGAUAAAAGAGUUCGUCGUAAAGAGUUACAUCGAUGCAAGCUUUUACACCGAUCCAGAUGAAUCUAAGUAUCAAUCUAGAUACAUAUUGAAAGUGGGAGCAAUUAGCUAGAGUAGCUCCGUGCAGAGCAUUGUAGACAUAGAAUAUUUGCAAAAAUACAUACAGAUCUGAAUGUGACAGACCAAUUGACUAAACUUCUCUCACGAGCAAAACAUGAUCAUACUCUAGUAAACCCUUUGGGUGUUGAUCACAUGACGAUGUGAACUAUGGGUAUAAAUCACAUGGUGAUGUGAACUAGAUUAUUGACUCUAGUGCAAGUGGGAGACUGAAGGAAAUAUGCCCUAGAGGCAAUAAUAAAGUUAUUAUUUAUUUCCUUAUAUCAUGAUAAAUGUUUAUUAUUCAUGCUAGAAUUGUAUUAACCGAAAACAUAAUACAUGUGUGAAUACACAGACAAACAGAGUGUCACUAGUAUGCCUCUACUUGACUAGCUCGUGAAUCAAAGAUGGUUAAGUUUCCUAACCAUAGACAUGAGUUGUCAUUUGAUUAAUGGGUCACAUCAUUAGGAGAAUGAUGUGAUUGACUUGACCCAUUCCGUUAGCAUAGCACCCGAUCAUUUAGUGUAUUGCUAUUGCUUUCUUCAUGACUUAUACAUGUUCCUAUGACUAUGAGAUUAUGCAACUCCCGUUUACCGGAGGAACACUUUGUGUGCUACCAAACGUCACAACGUAACUGGGUGAUUAUAAAGGAGCUCUACAGGUGUCUCCGAAGGUACAUGUUGGGUUGGCGUAUUUCGAGAUUAGGAUUUGUCACUCCGAUUUGUCGGAGAGGUAUCUCUGGGCCCUCUCGGUAAUGCACAUCACUAUAAGGCUUGCAAGCAAUAUAGCUAAUGAGUUAGUUACGGAAUGAUGCAUUACGUAACGAGUAAAGAGACUUGCCGGUAACGAGAUUGAACUAGGUAUUGGAUACCGACGAUCGAAUCUCGGGCAAGUAACAUACCGAUGACAAAGGGAACAACGUAUGUUGUUAUGCGGUCUGACUGAUAAAGAUCUUCGUAGAAUAUGUGGGAGCCAAUAUGAGCAUCCAGGUUCCGCUAUUGGUUAUUGACCGGAGGCGUGUCUCGGUCAUGUCUACAUAGUUCUCGAACCGGUAGGGUCCGCACGUUUAAGGUUUCGAUGACAGUUAUAUUAUGAGUUUAUGAGUUUUGAUGUACCGAAGGAGUUCGGAGUCCCGGAUGAGAUUGGGACAUGACGAGGAGUCUCGAAAUGGUCGAGACGUAAAGAUUGAUAUAUUGGACGACUAUAUUCGGAGUUCGGAAAGGUUCCGAGUGAUUCGGGUAUUUUUCGGAGUACCGGAGAGUUACGGGAAUUCGCCGGGGAGUAUAUGGGCCUUAUUGGGCUUUAGGGGAAAGAGAGAGGAGAGGCUGGGCGCCCCCCAAGGCCUAGUUGGAAUUGGACUAGGGGGGGGGGGGCUGCGCCCCCUCCUUCCUUCUCUUCUCUUCCCCCUUUCCUUGACUCCUACUCCUACUACUUGGAAGGAGGGGAAUCCUACUCCCGGUGGGAGUAGGACUCCUCCUUGGCGCGCCCCCUCCUAGGCCGUCCGCCUCCUCCCCCCUUGCUCCUUUAUAUACGAGGGCAGGGGGGCACCUCUAGGCAGAACAACAAUUGAUCUCUUGAUCUCUUAGCCGUGUGCGGUGCCCCCUCCACUAUAGUCCCCCGCGAUAAUAUUGUAGCGGUGCUUAGGCGAAGCCCUGCGGCGGUAGAACAUCAAGAUCGUCACCACACCGUCGUGCUGACGGAACUCUCCCUCGACACUCGGCUGGAUCGGAGUUCGAGGGACGUCAUCGAGCUGAACGUGUGCUAGAGGAGGUGCCAUAGUUUCGGUGCUUGAUCGGUCGGGCCGUGAAGACGUACGACUACAUCAGCCACGUUGUUCUAACGCUUCCGCUUUCGGUCUACGAGGGUACGUGGACACACUCUUCCCUCUCGUUGCUAUGCAUCACCAUGAUCUUGCGUGUGCGUAGGAAUUUUUUUGAAAUUACUACGUUCCCCAACAGAGACAACAUACAUCUCAUCAAAAUAUCGAACGAAUACCAAAUUCACAUGACUACUAAUAGCAAAACUUCACCCAUGUCGUCAGGAACAAACGUAACUACUCACAAAACAUAUUCAUCUUCAUAAUCAAAGGAGUAUUAAUAUGCAUUAAAGAUCUGAACAUAUGAUCUUCCACCAAGUAAACCAAUUAGCAUCAACUACAAGGAGUAAUCAACACUACUAGCAAACCACAGGUACUAAUUUGUUGUUUGAAUACAAGAUUGGGUACAAGAGAUGAACUAGGGUUUUGAGAGGAGAUGGUGCUGGUGAAGAUGUUGAUGGAGAUUGACACCCUCCCGAUGAGACGAUCGUUGGUGAUGACAAUGGUGAUGAUUUCCCCCUCACGGAGGGAAGUUUCCCCGGCAGAACAGCUCCACCGGAGCCCUAGAUUGGUUCCGCCAAGGUUCCGCCUCGUGGCGGCAGAGUUUCGUCCCGUAAGUUUGCUUAUAAUUUUUUCCAGGGUAAAAGCCUUCAUAUAGCAGAAGAUGGGUACCGGAGGGCCACCAGGGGGCCCAGGAGACAGGGGCGCGCCCAAUAGGGGUGGGCGCGCCCCCCACCCUCCUGGCCAGGGUGUGGGCCCCCUCUGGUAUUUUCUUCGCUCAAUUAUUCUUAUUAAUUCCAAAAGUGACUUCCGUGGAGUUUCAGGAUUUUUGGAGCUGUGCAGAAUAGGUUUCCAAUAUUUGCUCCUUUUCCAGCCAGAAUUCCAGCUGCCGGCAUUCCCCCUCUUCAUGGUAAACCUUGUAAAAUAAGAGAGAAUAGCCAUAAGUAUUGAGACAUAAUGUGUAAUAACAGCCCAUAAUGCAAUAAAUAUUGAUAUAAAAGCAUGAUGCAAAAUGGACGUAUCAUAGGGGCGGAUGUAAUUUUUUACAUCCACGCCCUACGCGGUAGUACCGCCCUAUGCACGCGGUAGUACCGUGAGUCCUGGUUCAGCACAGCAACACAAGUGGAAGUAGGGGCGGAUGUAAUUUUUUUACAUCUGCUCCCUGCGCGGUAGUACCGCACGCCAAGUGAGGUAGUACCGUGUCGGAUUUUUGCACUGUUUGAUUUUCAGCGGAAGUAGGCACGGAUGUAUUUUAUUCAUCCGUGCCCUUCCCAGGCUAGUUCACUCUAGCCUUGCGAUAGUACCGCGUCAGUGGCAGUACCGCCCUCAGCCUUUGCGGCUCAGGCCUGGACUAGCUCAUGCCGUAGCAGCGGUAGUACCGCGGUCCGUCGCGGUAGUACCGUGAGCCCCUGCGGUAGUACCGCAGGUCGCGGGCUGAGUAAGUGGAUAACGGUUGGAUUUGUCUCUCCACUAUAUAAGUGGUGUCUUUUUCCUCUAGUUGACUACCUCUUCCACCCUAAAGCUCCAUUGUUGCUCCAAGCUCCAUUUUCGCCCGAUCUCUCUCCCUAGCCAAUCAAACUUGUUGAUUUGCUCGGGAUUGAUUGAGAAGGCCCCGAUCUACACUUUCACCAAGAGAAAUUUGAUUCCCCCCACUAAUCCCUAGCGGAUCUUAUUACUCUUGGGUGUUUGAGAACCCUAGACGGUUGAGGUCACCUCGGAGCCAUAGUCCAUUGUGGUGAAGCUCCGUGGUGUCGUUGGGAGCCUCCAAUUAAGUUAUGGAGAUUGCCUCAACCUUGUUUGUAAAGGUUCGGUCGCCGCCUUCAAGGGCACCAAUAGUGGAAUCACGACAUCUCGCAUUGUGCGAGGGCGUGAGGAGAAUAAAGUGUCCCUAGUGGCUUCUUGGGGAGCAUUGUGCCUCCACACCGCUCUAACGGAGACGUACUUCCCUCAAAAGGAAGGAAUUUUGGUAACAUAUCCUCGUCUUCACCGGCUCCACUCUUGGUUAUCUCGUGCCUUUACUCUUGCAAGCUUAUUUGUGUUAUAUCCUUUGCUUGCUUGUGUGCUUGUUGUUGUUGCAUCAUAUAGGUUGCUCACCUAGUUGCAUAUCUAGACAACCUACUUUGAUGCAAAGUUUAAUUUGGUAAAGAAAAGCUAAAAAUUGUUAGUUGCCUAUUCACCCCCCUCUAGUCAACUAUAUCGAUCCUUUCAACCUUGAAGUAUGGAUAUCAUCUUGGGCCUUCGCGAAUCUUGGGUGGAGUCUGACCAGAUGGUCUCCUGAUCUCUCCUCUAAGCUCCCCAAUAGCAUAAAGCACUUGCUUGAAGUACCAAGAGAUGAUCUCCAUUGAUCUCCUGAAUGUGUUGUGAAUGACACUGAACCUCUGGUUAUGGCCAACAACAUGGAGGAACAUGGCCACUUGCUCUUCGACACUGGUGUUGAUGCUAUCUUGUAGCAGCCCCCUGCUCCUGAAGGUCUCGACAAGCCUGGCAAAUGGUGCUAUUUUUAUCCUAAGCAUCCAUAGAGCCUCGACGUCAUUGCAGUUGUAGAUGUAGUUCAGAUUUUGGAUCCUCUCCUGUUCCCGGGGAAACAAUGAACCAUAGCGGAUCAAAGGUCUCCCAACACGACGAAGAGCUCUCUGGUGCAUGAACAUGACCCAUGCCUGAACCACACUAAUCAGUGCUGCUGCCUGGAUUAUUCAGCCUCAUCCGUGUGUCCAUAACCUAGUCGACAUCGACGGUUCGUUCAGUGGGAAAUCGAUCUACACCCAACUUAACGGCCUAACCACUGAGCUAACAAGGGGGGGGGGUGGUGCUGCUUACCGGCACCGGAGAUGAGGACGGCUUAGGGGGAGCCAUGGCACAGACAAGGUCGACCAGACGGUGGCCAACAACAAGGGGAGCACCAGAUCCGCCGCAAAGGCCGCCGCAGCCGCUGUCUAUAGCGCAGAUUUGAAAUCGCAGCCGCCGCCGGUGGUGAGGCAGUAGGAAAGAAAGGGGGCAGUGGCUAUGGGUGAGCGAGUGAAAGGGGGGUGAGGCUAAUUUGGUGCCGGGACNNNNNNNNNNNNNNNNNNNNNNNNNNNNNNNNNNNNNNNNNNNNNNNNNNNNNNNNNNNNNNNNNNNNNNNNNNNNNNNNNNNNNNNNNNNNNNNNNNNNNNNNNNNNNNNNNNNNNNNNNNNNNNNNNNNNNNNNNNNNNNNNNNNNNNNNNNNNNNNNNNNNNNNNNNNNNNNNNNNNNNNNNNNNNNNNNNNNNNNNNNNNNNNNNNNNNNNNNNNNNNNNNNNNNNNGCCUCGCUCCCGCCCGUGCGACCUCGCGCCGCACUCAGCGUAGCUCACGAGAAAUUGCCGAUCAGAGCGUUUCCAGCGAGCAAGGCUCUGGGCUGCUUUAAGAAGCGUGCGAUGCAGGCCCAACAGAAAAACCAGGCAACAAAACAUGCCUCUUCCUUCCCGCGCGGGCCUGGUUGGGCUCGAUGCAGGCAACCAAACAUGCCAAAAAAGCACUUUCAAGGAAGGAAGAGGGGGAGAGCAUGGCGAGGGAGUGGGAGGAAGAUUCCUUCCAUUCCAUUGGUGGUGUGAAGUUCGAAGGAGCGUGGGCCCUUGGAUCCGGAUCGGACGACUGAUUCAAACCCACUCUCCAUCUCCAUCUCCAGGGAGGGAGGAACCGCGUCGCGUGGACCAGUCCGCCCGCCAUUGACCUCCUCUCCUCUCCCCCCAAACCUCGCCCCCGCCAUGGCCGCCGCGACGGCCGCCGCCGAGAUCGCCGCGCUGCCGGAGCCGCGCGGCCCGCUGCGCCGCCUCUGCGGCGACCUCUCCCGCCGCGUCCGCCUCCUCGCCCCGCUCCUCGACGACCCCUCCGCCUCCGCCUCGCCCCCGCUCGCCGACGCCCNNNNNNNNNNNNNNNNNNNNNNNNNNNNNNNNNNNNNNNNNNNNNNNNNNNNNNNNNNNNNNNNNNNNNNNNNNNNNNNNNNNNNNNNNNNNNNNNNNNNNNNNNNNNNNNNNNNNNNNNNNNNNNNNNNNNNNNNNNNNNNNNNNNNNNNNNNNNNNNNNNNNNNNNNNNNNNNNNNNNNNNNNNNNNNNNNNNNNNNNNNNNNNNNNNNNNNNNNNNNNNNNNNNNNNNNNNNNNNNNNNNNNNNNNNNNNNNNNNNNNNNNNNNNNNNNNNNNNNNNNNNNNNNNNNNNNNNNNNNNNNNNNNNNNNNNNNNNNNNNNNNNNNNNNNNNNNNNNNNNNNNNNNNNCCCCCCUCUUCCUCUACCACCGCCACCGCCACCGCUACACCCCAAAGAUUGAUUUUUUCCCCCGCCCGCCCACGACCGCACAGGCCAUGCGAGGCCGGGACAGCCUCCUCCGCGAAUUCGCCGCCGUCAACGAGCGGAUCCAGGCCGCGCUCGACCAGCUGCCCUACCACGACUUCGACAUGCCCGAGGAGGUGCAGGAGCAGGUGCCACACCAAUCCAAUUUCCAUCAGAUUUCACACCUCAAUCCAAUUCUGUUCUGACUGCCGUUGAUCCCCACAGGUGGCGCUGGUGCACUCGCAGUUCAAGCGGGCGGCGACGAGAGCGGAGCCGGCGGACGCGCAGCUCGCGAGGGACCUGGCAUGGGCGCUCAGCGACGACAAGCCAACCGUGCCGGCCCUCCUCAUGAGGGUCUCGGAGAAGCUGCAGCUCGAGACCAUGGCCGACAUGAAGCGCGAGUCGGUGGCGCUGCACGAGAUGGUCAUCUCCAGCGGCGGCGAGCCCGAGGGCUGCGUCGACGAGAUGUCCUCCCUGCUCAAGAAGCUCAAGGACUGCGUCAUCGCCCAGGCCCCCGCCGCCGAGGCUCCCGGCGUGGGCAGGUCUCCCUCUGUGAAGUCCCCUAUCAUCCCCGACGAGUUCAGAUGCCCCAUUUCGCUCGAGCUGAUGCAGGACCCUGUCAUCGUCUCCAGCGGUCAGGUAGUAGGGUUGUUGAAUUCUACGCGAUGAUGCUAGUCAUUCCUCUUCAAGCACAUUUAUCCUAACGAUCAUUAUCUUAUUUUCAGACGUACGAGCGGUCCUGCAUCCAGAAGUGGCUUGAUUCUGGGCACAAGACCUGCCCCAAGAUGCAGCUGGCCCUAACGCAUACUUCCCUCACACCAAACUUUGUCCUCAAAAGCCUGAUAGCGCAGUGGUGCGAAGCCAAUGGCAUUGAGCUUCCCAAGAACAAGGCCAACUCCCAUGACAAGAAAGCGGUGAAAAGUUCCGACUAUGACAAUGCUGGUCUGGUCUCGCUGAUGAAUAGGCUGCGGGGCGGGAACCAGGACGAGCAACGGGCAGCUGCGGGGGAGAUCCGGUUGCUUGCCAAGAGAAAUGUCAACAACCGGAUAUGCAUCGCUGAAGCAGGGGCCAUCCCAUUGCUGGUCAAUCUGCUCUCCUCUUCCGAUCCAAGAACGCAGGAACACGCCGUCACGGCGCUCCUUAACCUCUCCAUCCACGAGAACAACAAGGCAAGCAUCGUGGACUCCAACGCCAUUCCUAAGAUAGUGGAAGUGCUGAAAACAGGGAGUAUGGAAGCCAGAGAGAACGCAGCAGCCACGUUGUUUAGCCUGUCAGUUGUGGAUGAAAACAAAGUAACUAUUGGAGCUGCUGGUGCGAUACCUCCACUCAUCAAUCUUCUGUGCGACGGGAGCCCAAGAGGCAAGAAAGAUGCGGCAACGGCAAUUUUCAACCUGUGCAUAUAUCAGGGCAACAAGGUCCGGGCGGUGAAAGCUGGAAUCGUCACCCAUCUGAUGAACUUCUUGGUGGAUCCCACUGGGGGAAUGAUUGACGAGGCACUCACUCUUUUGUCGAUUCUUGCCGGCAAUCAAGAAGGCAAGUCUGUAAUCACACAAUCAGAGCCAAUGCCUCCACUAGUCGAGGUGAUCAAAACUGGCUCUCCUCGCAACAGAGAGAACGCGGCAGCCAUUCUAUGGUCUCUCUGUUCUGCUGAUGCUGAACAAACCAUGGCUGCAAAGGCGGCUGGAGGGGAAGAUGCGCUCAAGGAGCUGUCAGAAACCGGCACAGACCGCGCAAAAAGGAAAGCUUCUAGCUUACUUGAACUCAUGCGCCAAUCAGAGGAGGCAUGAAGAUUUUCUUGAAAUGCGAGGCUUUUGGCCUGGCUAUAGCCAAUUGUACACACGACACGGAUACUUAAUUGCUUCUGAAUAGUGUUGACUUUUGAUAUGUUUGUAUCUAGGGAGGUCUGCUCAGAAUUUUCUGUAAACACAUAAAUGGUCGUAUACUAUUGUAACUCAAAAAAAGUUGUAUUUCUUGAUAAGAAGAUAAUAAAUAAUUUUCUGUGUGGUUUACUUUGCUGAUUUUUAUCAGUUCUGGUCUCAUGGUUUUAAACACAUUCCCAUUUUGGUUGUAGAACAGGAUUUUUUAUUAUUAAAGGAAGCGACGAGGAAUUCAGAAGUUUUUUCCCCUUGGGUAGCUCUGCUUUUUUGGUGAUGUGUCUGGUGGCUUCAUUCUGAAGUAAGUUCCUUCUCAGAAAAUUAUUACUGCAUUUUAAUUUCUAUUUCCAUUGUUUGUGUCUAAAUCUCAAGUAUGGAUUACUAGGUUAAUGUGGCUUAGCUUCUUUAGAGUUAAAUACCCACAUCAUGCAGCUAUAUAUUACAGUACCAUCUAUUUCAUAGGAAAAAACAUUGAACACUAUUUUCUCUCUUUUUUUUUUGAGGGGUACAAUAUUUUCUCUUGAUAAGUAAAACAUGAUGGGACAGAAUAUUGGUAUGGAUACAUGAUCCAUUUUGAGGUGAGCUAUGUAUAACCAUUUUCUGAGUCCACAUGCAAGGAACCUUACGUUGGGAGGCGUAUUCAGUGCAUUAAGGGUCAUGGGUACAGUACUCGUUUAGGUGAGAUGUGUUAGGAUUAAGAAUAAAAAAUCGGAAGUUCUGAAUUUUUUUCCCAUCAUUUCCCCUUUUUUGCCUGUAAGCUUUUUGCUAAUGUUAUCACUGGGCUCCUUUUACUUUUAGAGCCCUAGUUAGUGUGCUUGCAUCCAUGGGAAUAGCAUAGAAUCAUCAAUGAGCAGUUGCUGACUCACUAUUCUCCAAUGGAACCAGACAAAACGAAUGGUGUCAUUGCAUAUGCAAUGUUUUGACCAUGUGGGAUAGGGUGGUUAGCAAUCUCAAUUUCUCAAAGAGUAAAAAACUGUUUGCAAACAGAAGAUUCACAUCAGCUCUUGAACACUGCGCCAGCUAUAUGCUGGAACGCCGAGAGAGGAGUGAAGAAUCCAUGAAAUCAAACUGUCAGUUCUGGGCUCAAAACAAAAGUAGACGUGGGAUGGAGAACAUACAGAGAACCAAGUAGACAAGACGGUGCAGCAUGUCGAUCAUGUCACAUAAUUCGGUGGCAGCUACUUGCAAGCUACCAGCGCUUUCUGAAGAAAACCGAGGGAGAAAAUGUUCAAGGGGGAAACACAUCAGAGAGAGUAGAGGCAAGAUGCCAAGAUGUGGCCACUGCACCAGCAGGAUAUAUACAUAUCAUCGCUGCAUUAUUAGGAUAUUUGAAACACACAACAUGUUGCGACCAUAACUAGAUGUCUAGAAAAUCUUGUUCGCAGAAUGUAGUCUUUUCGGUCUACGUCAGUCAUGUCGUGGCACUCUUUCGGAGAACCAGAGAGGAUCUGCUCUCUUAGCAUGACAAUGAGGUUAUAAUAGUGUGUUGGGCGUCGUGCUGCCCAUGUGGGGACAAGUGUCCCUCCAUCAGUCACCCGGCAAUUAUGGCAAAUUCCAGCAGAAAGCCAUUUCCCCUGCCUGAAAAUGUAUAACAGAUGAUUGGAGUCACUGGAUCUGUUCGCCACGAGGCACCAUGUUCCUCUUGAGGAAAACAGGGUGGAUCUGUUUGCAGCUCUUGUUAACACCAUUUCUCUUCAACAGAAAUCCCUGAAGCAUCGUUAGAUCCCGGUAAGUAACUUUUUGCAGCUCUUGUUCACAUCACUGUAGUAAAUUUCUAUGCAACUUUCUCCAGUGUCCACCCUUAAACAUCUGUAAUGAAAUUUUUAGAUUCAUUCUGUUUCAUCCAUCUAGCUGCACAUUGUGGAUGGUAUCUAGCAAAUGUAACCUCCACAUCAUCUAGUUAGUGAGACAAGAGGUGCAGAAGCAUAACAAUAAAAAAGCCCAGCCAGUCUCCUACACUACAGACUACACUACCCUACAGUGUGUCCUGUCAGUAUACAACCCCAACAUGCAACAUGCAGUAGUAGCCCAGGGGGGCUGUCUAUCACAUGGCCACCCUAAGCCAAUGUAUGCAGGGAACACACUUCCAGGCUAAUCAAUCAUUUGCUUUGCUGCUUAAUCUUUCUCAUUUUAGCUCACUAAUCAACACCGCUUCCUGCGUGAUGACACAGCUAAGGUCUAAUCCUCACGCUUAAACAACCAAUCAAGCAAGCAAGUUGGGCUGAAGAGAUCUAAACUUCUGGCCUGGUACUUGCAGCGGCGUUCAACUUUUUCGCUUUGACCCCAACCGCACGCACCUAAUCAAGAUUCUCGCGCUUGGUUAUGGCCACUAACCAGAACAUGCACUGUGAUAUUAUUCUAUCUCCCACAUGUGGUGUUAACUAGUAACCAGUGCUGAUUCCAGCUUGGCCAGACACUUCCCAUUGGCCCUGGGCAUCAUGUUGCCACAAUUAUAUGCUCAUGUUACUAGUUAAUCUCUUGUCUGUCUAUUUUUUGCUGUCACAAGGGAUCUGGAUAGGUUGCAACUGGGAGUAGAAUAUGCGUCCGAGCUGAUCGUCUGGUGCGGAAAUCGACGACCAAGAUCCACUUCAGCUUGGUGAGGGAUCUGUGGUGGGAAGCGGCACGUGUCUGAUCCCUGAGCGUCGCUUCAUUUAUGAUGUUCGAUCCUGGCCGUCGGUUGCCUGACAGGACGGCCAAUUCUUUCCACUUGGUACGGUAGGGAACCCCUUGGUCCCUAUCUAUAAAGGCCAUGCAUAGAGAUACAGGGGAGUAAGCUAUUUGGAGCUGUACUUGCUAGCUGAUUAGCUUCAGACAUCUCACCAGGUGACAUAUAUCAUCUUUCUUUCUUUCUGAGGAGGAAGGAGAAGUAAUGGGGCACAUUGCUGAUCCUACGGGCGCCGUAGUCGUGGGCUGCAAAGUGCUGCCCAUCUUCAACGAGAAUGGCAUCGUGGACGGCGCGGUGAAGAAGAUCGUGCACAGGAUCGACGGGAAGAAGGCGGUCGCCCGGGUGAAGGAGCUCCUCAAGUGGGCUGCCCAGGCCAGGCCGUACGGCAGCAGCAACGGCGUCAGUGGGAAGAAAUGGAAGGUAUUAGUCACUAGUACUUGGUUUCUUUAGUUAAUGUUGAUCGUCGCAAGAGCACAUCUUGUUUCGAAGUUGUGUCGAUCCAGAUGGGAGACUUGUUAUAAUCUGAUGGAUCUUCUUUGUGCGAGCAGCAGUUCCUGAGCUUCCAGGGAAGGGACGGUGGUGGUCCUGCAGCACCGGUAUCAAAGUGCGACGACGACGCGAGCUCGGGGUCCGGGUCCGGCGGCAAGCUGAGCUUCAAGUGGGAGGCGGGCAGCUGCUCGUCGGCGUCGUCGGUGCUGUACUCGCCGCUGUCUUUCGCGUCGGCGCCGGCCGGGAGGACGGAGCAGCAGACACCGUCGAGGGGCAACGGGAGCUACAACUACAGCUACAACGCGUACGCGUCGCGGCUGUCGUCGGUGAGCCAGAAGAGCACGUCGUCGGAGGCGUGCCGGAUGGCGCAGUGGAUCACCACCGAUUCAGACUGUGAGUAGCUACAACCUCUGUGUAUGAUAUGUUAACAGGAUCCGUGCGUGAUUAGAGACACUAAUCCGUGCAUUAGCGUGGUAAUUAUUGACACGGCGUGUUUGGUUGGUUAAUUUUGUUGCAGUUGUGGUGCUGGAGCUGUAAGUGAAAAAUGAUACGCAUUGCUGAAGAUGGUGAAGCAGCAGCAGGGGGAUGUUGAGAGGAGACAACAUUUGAGAAACUGGCGAUGACUCAGCAACAAGAGCAGCAGCAGGGGGGCGAUGACUCAGCAGCCUCAUCAAGCUAGCUGGGUAGUUAAUUAGCUAGUGUUGUUAAUUACUCUAGUUUAGUUAGGGCGGGAGCUUAAGCAGACUGAUGAGCCUGACAGAGAAACAAUUAAUCACAAGGAAGGAGGUACAGCUGAUGCAUGAUGGAGCAGCAAAGCAAAGCAAGCAAUGAUGGAGUUAUCAAAUUAAGUCGGAGUGUAUAUACAUUAGCUAGUGUAUAUGCGUGUCUUUUUUGAUUCAUAAAUAAGGUGUACAUGCGUUACGCGUUUUUUUGUUUUUGCUCCUUUUUGAGAUAAAGAGAUGGUUACAUGGUUGAUUUUUUGUUUUUGUUCCUUUUUGAGAUAAAGAGAUGGUUACAUGGUUUGUUACAACAGGCAUAAUGACUGGUAACAACGGUCUAGCAAUUUUUUUUGCUGGCCCUGUUGCACCGGUUUUCGUCCGUUUUUCUUCUACUAGCAAAAGGGCCGUGUGUUGCAACAGAGGAAAAAAUAAUCAUAAUCUGCAACGGCCAUGAUCACAUUUUGCUGCAUCACCGAGAUAUAUUAUCAAAAUCAAUUUCAUGAAAUCAUGAACAGUUUUUUAAACUCGUGCAGAUAUUAGAAAUUUUGAACAAUUUUCAAAUUCAUGAACAAUUUUCUAAAAUCAACAACAUUUUUUGAAUUCAUGAACAUUUUAUAGUAUUUGCACAAAAAAUUGAACAUUUUUUGAAUAAGCAAACAUUUUUUUACAAAACUGCAAACAUUUUAUUUAAAAAUUCUUAUUUUUUUCUAUUUUGCUGGAUUUUUUUGAAGUCUCAAAUUAUUUGAAGUACGAAAAAUAUAAAAAUAAAAAUAAAAACGAAAUUUAAAAAAACAUGCAGCACGGACAUGGGCCGGCCCAAAAAGGCGCGCUGAGUCUUCUUCCGGCAUGCAGAGCGCAGUAUAGGAGAUCCCUACUACAUGGGCCAGCCAAGGCGGAGGAUUUCCUUAUGUGAAACAUUUUCUAUAUCACUUAUAGGUGGCAUUGGUGGGUAAUAUUUUGUAAUUUUAGGGACAAUUUCCAUGACGUACCGCCAAAAGAAAUAACCCUUUAUUAUUAUUAUUAGGUAUAGAUAUAGAUUAAUUAAUGUAACAAUUCUUCUUAAUUAAUAGAUGAGCUAGUAUUUCUCCAGUGGGUAAAUGGAGGCAGCAUGUGGCAGGUGCAUCAUCAGAUUAGCAAUGUUAUCAAAGCUGCUCUCCAACAAACUAAGAGGGGGAGGGAGCUACUCCAAUGUGGCCACGUGUGUCUCUCGCUCUCUUGCUAGUAACUCCAAUGCGGAUCAUCGAAUGGACAUCACCAAAUAUUCACGGACGUGUCCCCGGAGAGGGAUAAGGAUGGGCGUCAUCCAACCGCAGACACCAAAUAUUCACUUUUGGUUUUUUUAUACACGGAUUACUCAAAACAACUAGCACAAUUCUCAAUGCAACAAUAAUUCAAAUAAAAAUAUUGCAAUCCAAACAUGAAGUUUUUAAAUAAAAUUGUUCAAUAGUUCAAUUUUGAAUUCAUCUUAGCAGGCACAUGUUCUAGUUCUCCAUUUGAAACGCCCAAAGAAGCUCAACCAGAUCAUUCUGAAGUUGCUCAUGCGUUCCUCGAUGUCGAAUUUUAUGAUGCAUUUGGAUAAAAUCCUCAAAUGUCGCUAGAUUCUGCCGUGAAAGCUUGAUAGGAUCACCCACGUUUUGAAACUCUAAACCAUGCCGAACUCCAGCAUCCCCAUCCUCCACAUUCAUGUUGUGCAUGAUCACACAAGUUGUCAUCAUCUCCCAGGAUGUCUCCGGAUCCUAUAGUUUAGCAUGUCCGUGAACAACUGCAAACCGUCUUUGAAGCACUCCAAAUGCCCUGUCGACAUCGUUUUUAGCAGAUUUUUGUCUUUGGGCAAAGUGAUAUCUUUUGUUAGCCCUUGGUUGAGAGAUGGUCUUGACCAAAGUUGCCCAUGGAGGAUAGAUACCAUGAGAGAGAUAGAACUUACGAAAAUAAUUACUUCAUACGCAAUGCAUGCAACUUUCUGUUGUCAAAGCAGCUAAAUACAGGUGGAUGGGGAGAGACUUAUCUUUCUAGUGAAAAUUGAGGUAACUGUUCUUCUUUUCUGUAUUUAACCACAUGCUGUUAUUAGGGUUUGAUAAGGUCAUGCUUGGUUUGUAUUUUUUUAGCUUGAGCAAGAUUUUGAGAUGCUAUCCGCCUAUCCCUGAGCAAGCUUUCGAGAUGUUAUCCGCUAGCAGUUGUAUCUGGCAGAUCAUUAGCACAAACUCAAUAGCCCGAAAGAGUUCAGAAACUCGAACCAUCCGUUGGAAAUUCAUUAGGAAUAGGCUGUGUUGCGCAACCCUGGAGGCACUAAACUAGCGUCCUAGGUAUGUUAUACUUGCAAGGCAAACUAUUGAGCAACACAACCUUAUAAGAGGUCUUUGGUCCAUAUAAUUUGUGCUCUACUUCCCUCCACUGCCGUGUUUGUUCAUAGCAUCUCGAUAUUUGCUAAGUUUCAGUUUCUGGCCAAACGUUUGUUGAAUGAGCCUGUUUUCAUUGCAACUAGCUAGAUUUUAUCUGAAAAAACGCAAUAAGUAUGCACCCCGUUUUAUUGAUAGAUCCGAGAACAUUCGUACAUGCCCAAGCAGGCAACAACCGAGGGAAACAAAAAGAACCAAGUGGUACGGUCGCACCAUGAAAAAGAGCCUCAUGGCACAAUCGAGCUGAGUAGACGCUGCUAGUAGUCCAUCUUUUGAUCACCUCCAACAGUGCUGAAAAUGCACAUUCAGUCUAUACUGAAACCAUCAUCCAUUCUGGAACCCCGAUAAAAUGGGACCGGCUAGGGGGUCACCUAGGGAUUAACUAGCUGCGUUUUCAAGCCGACUUAUUUCAUCAUGGUUAACUCGUAUAGUUUUAUUUGCUUGUAACUACUAGUUGUAUACGGCCAAAUCAAUCCUCCCACAACACCUAUCUCUCAGACAAAUUCCAAUUUCCACGUAUAAUAAUCUUACUCAUUCUCCGUCUAUAAUCAAUGAAACAGUUGUCCCUUAUUAUGCUGUCACAUGAACUUAGAAAUUAGUCAUGUCAAUUGAUGUGAUGGAAGCAUCUUGGAAGUGAAAUUGUGACAAAAUAUGUUUGUCCUUAUUUGUUAGUCGAUGCUAGCUGCUCUUACCUUACCCAGCUGAAUGUUUUACCGUAGAGCCCUUGUUGUGCAAGCUACCAACUUGAGUCCUUUGAUUGAAUAAUUAAUUAUGUGCAUAAUGAUAAGCCAUUUAAAAUUGGUAUAAUUGAAAAUGUCUAGAUCCUGUUCCCUUUGAACCAUUGAGAUAUUGUGAGUACUGAUUAGGGCAUUUCUUAAUGAAUUUAAUGAUGGUUUCCACUCUAAUAUUUUACAGUCUUAUGUGGAUGCGGGGAGUCCUCAUGCAGUCAACACUGCUUGGGCAAUGUUAGCUUUAAUUUAUGCUGGGCAGGUAUGUUUUCUUCAUGGUUCAUUUGAAUUGACUUUAAACUAUUCUGGCAUCCACAUGUUAUUUUCAUAUCACGGUCAUUCUAUUCAGGUUGAGCGAGAUCCCACACCACUAUAUCAUGCUGCAAAAGAAUUGGUCAAUAUGCAACUAGACACAGGCGAGUUUCCCCAGCAAGUAAGAAUUGAACUUUUGAGUCUACAGAAGUAGCACACUAAUAUUAAUAGUUGUAUUGUUCCAGCUUAGGAUCAUAACUAGUACAUACUAUCAAAAGAAAUAUUUUCAAGGCACAACACCCUACCAUGAUAAUGUUGAAUCCUCUGAUAACCUUGUUAUACUAAUACACACUACCUCCGUCCCAUAAUGUAAUACGUUUUUUGACACUAUUAUACCAAAGUAAUUUCUUUGGAAAUGUCUUCCUAAAGCAAUCUGAACUUCUUCCUUUGGUCACAGGAACACGUUGGAUGCUUCAACUGCUCCUUUUACUACAAUCACGGCAACUACAGCAAUUUAUUCCCCAUCUGGGCUCUUGGGGAGCUUCGUCGUCGACUGCGUGAGAAGAACUGAAUCCGCUGAACAUGGUCCAACAGAAGAUGAGAUUGUGUAAAUCCAACAUCUGCCUACAUCUAUGAAUCAUUGCACUUCCAGAGUUAUGCAGUACGCUGAUUGCUGAAAUAAUAUUUGAGUACUGAAUGCUAUAGCCUAAUAACUGUGGAGAAAAGUCUAGGAAUUUUUAUGUGAUGGGGCUGUGGUAUGUAAUAAUACUAUGGAAAACAAUGUAUGCAGGAAGUGUAUUCAUUCAAAUAAUAUCUUAUAUUCCAUUUGGAAUAUCCAAUGGUCUGUCGAAUGUAUAGCUGUUGCCUAUAUAAGAUGGUCGAUUCAUAUCACUCAAUAAAUCUUCAAGUAGUCACUGUUACUGUAUGAAAGAAUUCAGUGAUUUUGUUCAAGAAUUCAUUGACUGAAUCUUCUUCUUACCAAAAUAUAUUGAGUCUUGCAGAGCUACGCUUCUUUCAAGCUGCUAGGAGUGCGUCUUUUGGCACUCUAGAGUCGGUGGACGAAACAGAGCAUCCAGCAAAAAAAUAGAGGAGCUGCUCUGUUCUGUUUCGGAGCUGCAGUUGCAAAGAGCAGUUAACAGGGUAACAAGUUUAACUAGUGACUGUUUUGUACUUGAUCAUGGAUGGAUCGCCAAUAACAGAGCAGUUUCGUACAACUGAUUGCAGUACCAAUGAACGGAUGUACCAGUAGGUUCCAACUGUUCAAAUAAGAAAGUACUCCUUCCGUUUCAAAAUAGAUGACUCACUGGCAAUUGAUGAGACAACUGAUCAGUGUGGUGUCUAAGCUGAACACAACCGACUAAUGGGCUUCUUCGCAUGUUGGCUCUUGAGGUCCCAACACCACCGGCAGCUAGUAGUUCAUACCUGGGAGUGAAGCUUCCUUACAACGAUGACUUUGCUGUCAGUCAGGGGAGGUGCAGCUCAUCUCCGCGCAGCAUGAGCUCCCGGCCGUCUCCAUCGCCGGCACCAGAGCCCGCAUGGAACGCGAGCACGAGCACCUGACCAACACCGGGGAGGUGCCGCGCCAUGAGGACUUCGGAGCUCAAGCGCGGGUGCACAGGAGGUGCGUUCAACCAAAUGCCAAAGAGAGAGAGGGAGGAGCAAGAAGAAGAUUGUGGGCCCCACCUGUAAUAAUGGUCAACUGAAUGGUCAAAAUAAGCAGGGUUGACUUUGUUGCCAUGUCAGCCCUGACAAAAAACGGUCUAAACUAGCCAUGGUAGUUUUUAGUCACAAAUAUUUUUAAAAAAUUGAUAGUUAUCAGUCAUUUUUUAAAAUGUGGUAGUUCAAUGGGAUGCAAACUCCUAUAGUGGUACUCCCUCCAUCACAGUUUACAAAGCGCGCUACAACAAUCUCUGGAACCAAGGCAAUUAGUGAUAUGGACUGAAAAAUAGUAUCGGUAGUUAUAGCACGGCGCCUAUUACUAGAGUAAUUAAUGCAUACACACAUGCAUGCAGUUAUUCCACUCCACGUACACACCUACAUGAAGAGAAAAUUGUGGGCUUGAUUGCGGUUAUCACACCCUAAUUAAUUGGGCAUUAAACCAAUGACGCUUAAAAUCCCUUCGGUGGUGGAAGUGCAUGACAAUUGAAGCGCGCCGUGCAAACUGUGACGGAGGGAGUAGUUUCUUUUGUCAAUCGAUCAUUAUAUCACUUCAGCACAAAAAUGUGGUGGCAUGCAUUUAUUUGUAUUUUUGGGGUUUUGUAGAAAUAUAUUUAGGAAGGUAUAUCUCUUGAUUGGAUACAUCAGAUAUUAUGACCUAACCCAACUUUGCUCUUUUUUUGCUUCUGCAUUAUUUUUUCGCAUUGUUGUCUUAUAGGCAGGUCAUAAGUGACGCUUCUUUAUUUUGUAUAUUGGCCUUCCAAAAAUAUAUUCCUGCCGUGUUGCUGCAUGUCGCCACUUCAACCCAUGGUCCGGUGGCAGUAAUGAUCUGCAAAUAAAUAUUGCUUCCUUGUAAAACUAGCACUCCCUCUUAAACUAAUAUAAGAGCGUUAAGAUUACUAAAGUAGUGAUCAAAACGCUCUUAUAUUAGUUUACGGAGGGAGUACAUGCAUGCGUGCAAUGCACAUUGAUAGUAGGCAGAAAAUUAAUUGCACAUUGAUAUCAGGCAGAAAAUUCAUUUCGCGUUUGAUAAUAGGUAGGAUAUUGUAUUACUUAGGUGCUAAUUAUGUAGAUAGUCCAUAUUUGAUAUGUUGUUAAUUGCACACUAAAUAUGUUGAGCGCUCGCCAUUGGAGAAAUAUAGGUCAUUAGAUCGACACUGUUUGAUGGCUGAGAUUUGUUGCAUCUGCCCCUUUGGGUCUUUUUAUAUUGGUAUAGAUAUAGAUAUAGAUGAUUGUAUCUUCUCCCCGACAAUAAUUUACAAUAUUCAUUUGCUUCUCAAAUAUUGCAUUAAUUCAAAUAUUAAAUGAUUCAAAUUUAUGGUGCUCCAAAACAUUAAUUUGCUUCUAUAAAAGUACUGCCAAAAGAGAGCAUUGCAACCCACAAAAAUUCAGAAGAACGACAUAACAUAGAGAAGGAAAAAAGGCCGUCAUGGCAAUAUUCAACAAGAACACAAGUGCCCAGUGCUUGUUAGCUCUUGUGCUCAUUGCUACUGUCAUUUCGUCUUGUUAUGCGUUUGGUCCAGGUACGUGCAUCUCUGUGGUUUUGCCACGUGAUGCUAAUUUUCUAUGUAUUUCACAAUGUUGAGUUGUAUGGAUCUUAUGGCAACUGAUCCAUGCUGAAGCGUAACUUGCCAUAUUGUCUGGGUAUUCUUCUAACAGUGUGUUUUUUUUGUGAAAUGUAGAAGGAGGAUGUUUCAUGCCUUUCCUGAGUUGCAAUCUGGACUUGUGCAGGCGUGACUGCAACGGUUUACUUGCCUCUUGCCAAAUGAUAGGCGAGUUUCACCACCGAUGUUGUUGCGCUCCCAAGAAACUCAAUGCAUCUACUGAUAAGAAUAGUCGUCCUUGAGAUAUGCAUUCCGAUAUUAUAGUUUAUAGGUCACUGCUUUUUCCUGGAUCCAAUUCUGCCCGAUUGAAUAAAAUUUAUCACCAUUGAAAAAAUGUUGCUCCCGAGAUAUUUAUGUAUUGUGUGAAGCCGUAAUGCUUCGUUUGGAUGUUCAUAUUCAGACCUCAACAUUGAUAUUGGGGCCAAUAUCAAUUGAACUUGGACAUUGAUAUUGACAUUUAAGACAAAUUUUGCUGUUUGGAUGUUGAUAUAUUUGACACUUCAACAUUGACAAUGAGACCAAGUUACACUUCAACAUUCCAAAAGAGAGCAUUGCAACCCACAAAAUUUCAGAAGAACGACAUAACAUAGAGAAGGAAAAAAGGCCGUCAAGACAAUAUUCAAGAAGAACACAAGUGCCCAGUGCUUGUUGGCUCUUGUGCUCAUCGCUACUGUCAUUUCAUCUUGCGAUGCGUUUGGCCCAGGUACGUGCAUCUCUGACCUAACUAUAAGUCACUGUGGUUUUGCCAUGUGAUGCUAAUUUUCUAUAUAGUUCACAAUAUUGAGUUGUAUGGAUCUUAUGGCAUCUGGUCCAUGCUGAAGCGUACCUUGCCAUGUUGUCUGGCUAUUCUUCUAACAAUGUAUUUUUUUUGUUUGUGAACAUGUAGAAGGAGGAUGUUUCAUGCCUUUCAUGAGUUGCGAUCUGGACUUGUGCAGGCGUGACUGCAACGGUUUAUCUGCCUCUUGCCAAAUGAUAGGCGAGUUUCACCACCGAUGUUGUUGCGCUCCCAAGAAACUCAGUGCAUCUAUUGAUAAGAAUAGUCAUCCUUGAGAUAUGCAUUCCGAAAUUGUAGUUUAUAUGUCACUGCUUUUUCCUGGAUCCAAUUCUGCCUGAUUGAAUAAAAUUUAUCACCAUUGAAAAAAUAUCACUCCCGAGAUAUUUACGUAUCGUGUGAAACCGUAAUGCUUCGUUUGGAUGUUCAUAUUCAGACCUCGGCAUUGAUAUUGGGGCCAAUAUCAAUUGAACUUGGACACUGAUAUUGACAUUUAAGACAAAUUUUGUUGUUUGGAUGUUGACAUAUUUGAUACUUAAUUAGACAUUGACAUUGACACCAAUUCUAAAUCUUCUUGGAUGUUCAUACUGUUCACUUGGCACUAGGUCCACAUGUGAUACUCUGUCCUCCACAACUUUUCAUCCACUUCUCUUCUCUGCCGACAAUCGUACAAUUGACAUGAAAAAAGAGGGAUUGGAAAAAGAGAAGAACUAGAGUUACGCUCGUAUCAUGCCCUUCCCCAUCCCCUCACGGAACUCCACCGUCACCUUCCCCUCGUCUCGCGCCGAUGCAGAGCCACAAUGCCACCGAUAGCACCUCCUUUACAACUCCAUUUCUUUUUCAGUGCCAGCCAGUGUCGUGCACUACAUCCUUCGCCCUCCUCCAGCUUCAUCCGCGUCAUUGCACUAUGCUCCACCCUCGGAGGAUGAAUGCUUUCCCGCUACUACUGACUUCGAGUUCGCCUCACGCCAUGGCCGCAAUGGCGCCGAUGCCCCCACCAUGAGCUCCGGCAUGGAGCUAUUUCACUCUAUUGGCAUCCGCGUUGGCUACCUCUCCCCAUCCGCCAAGAAACGGCUCUCGAGGAGUGGGCGGAGUUGGGCGGCCUUGACCACCACGUGCUGAGGCCUCACUUAGUCAGGUUGGCUCAGAAGGGGAAGUGGCCGGCUGGGCACUGCGGCUCAUAGGGGGAAGUGGAGGACGUGGUCGUAGUCAAGGAGGAGUGCUUGGGUGCACGACUCCGGCCCUCCCCUUUGACCUUAAUGGGUAUUAGGGCAUCUCCAACGUUGACCCCAAACCAGACACCGUAUCCGUCCGCGAACACGGUGGGGAGCAGUCCAUAGGCACUGAUGACAGAGCUGGCCAUCCAAAUUUGUUCCCUAAAUGUCCGCCCAGGUACGGUCAGUUUGAAAUUCAAAUGAAUCUGACCACAUAGCGCGCGCCAGAUCACGUAAAGCCCGUUCGCAACCAAAUGAGUCGAAACAAGCCGGGUUUUGCACUGUUUCUUCUUCAUAUUUUCCUGGGUUUUUUCGCUUUGUUUUCUUUUGGUUUCACCAUUUUUUUCUGUAUUCAUUUGGUUUUUUCUUUACUUUUUUUCUUUUUCUUUGGUUUACUUAUUUUUUUUUCUUUUCAUUUGUUUCAUUUUGUUUCUNNNNNNNNNNNNNNNNNNNNNNNNNNNNNNNNNNNNNNNNNNNNNNNNNNNNNNNNNNNNNNNNNNNNNNNNNNNNNNNNNNNNNNNNNNNNNNNNNNNNNNNNNNNNNNNNNNNNNNNNNNNNNNNNNNNNNNNNNNNNNNNNNNNNNNNNNNNNNNNNNNNNNNNNNNNNNNNNNNNNNNNNNNNNNNNNNNNNNNNNNNNNNNNNNNNNNNNNNNNNNNNNNNNNNNNNNNNNNNNNNNNNNNNNNNNNNNNNNNNNNNNNNNNNNNNNNNNNNNNNNNNNNNNNNNNNNNNNNNNNNNNNNNNNNNNNGGCUUUCUUCGGAUUUUUUCGAUUUUCUGCUCUUUUUUUCUUCUUCUCCAUUCUUUAAUUCUUCUCUUUCUGUUUUCUUUUAUUCCUCUUCUUUCCUUUUUUAUUCCAUGCUAUUUUCUACAUUUGUUUAUUCCAUUCUAUUUUUCAUUUUUGGUUUAUUUUGUUUCUUUUCAACUUUCGUUUUCUCGUAUCCGUCAUAUACAUUUUGUGCAUAUGUCACAAGCUUUUUUCUAAUACAUGUUUCAUAUUUUCUCAAUAUAAGUUUAACAAUAUUUAAUACAUGGUCAACAUUUUUACUAUACACAUUAUUAACAACUCUUAAAUGAUUGAUUAAGUUUUUCAAAUACAAGAUUAACAUUUAUCUAUGCACAUUUAACAUUUUUUCAAAUGCUUGACUAAUAUUUUGUAAAUGCAACAUUUAACUAUUUUUAACACAUGGUCAACAUGUUUUAUAUACAUAUUUAACAUUUUCUAAAUGCUUGAUUAACAUGUUUCCAAUACUGGUUCAACAUUUUAAAAUGAUUGAUUAAAUUUUUUAUGUUCAUUAUUAAGAAAACAGCAUUUUUAAUAGAUGGUCAACAUUUUUUCUAUACGAAUUUAACAUUUUUCAAAUACUUGAUGAACAUUUUGAUAGAAGUUUUCAAAAAUCUAAAUAUAUGAUCAAAAGAUUUCAUCAUAUUUCAUACAUGGUCAACAUUUUUAUUAUACACAUUAUUAACAAUUUUAAAUGAUUGAUUAAGAUUUUAAAAUACAAGCUUAACAUUUUUCUAUGCACAUUUAACAUUUUUUCAAAUGCUUGACUAAUAUUUUGGCUAUGCAAUAUUUAACUAUUUUUAACACAUGGUCAACAUGUUUUCUAUACAAAUUUAACAUUUUCUAAAUGCUUGAUUAAAAUGUUUCAAAUACUGGUUCAACAUUUCAACAUGAUUGGUUAAAUUUUUUAUAUGCAUUAUUAAAAAAAUCAGCAUUUAUAAUAGAUGGUCAACAUUUUUUUGAUAGGAAUUUAAUAAUUUUCAAAUACUUGAUGAAUUUUUUGAAAGAAAUUCUAAAAAAAUCUAUAUAUAUGAUCAAAAAGUUUCAUCAUAUUUUAAUACGUGGUCAAAAAAAUUUCUAUACACAUUUAACAUUUUUCAAAUGGUUGAUUAUAUAUGGUCAAAAUUUCUAUAUACAUAGAGAGAGAGAGAGAGAAAUUUAUCACUAUUUUAAUACAUGGUCAACAUUUUUAUAUACACAUUUAACAAUUUUCAAAUUCUUUUCAUAACAAUUAAAUACUUCUUUCUAAAAAAUACAAAUGCUUGAUUAACAUUUUCUAAAAUACAUGAUCAAAAAAUUUAUACACAUUUUCUAUACAUUUUUCUAAUACAUGAUAAACAUUUUCUCUAUACACAUUCGAGAUUUUUGAAAUCUUUGGUCAACAUUUUUUUAAAUGAUUUCACAGAUUUUUUUUCGUAAUUUGUAUAUUUAGUAUACACAAAAUCAAAAAAAAAAUGAAAAACAGAAAAAUGAAGGUUGUGCCACCCACGCUCCUAGGCCGGCUCAUGUUGGUCUCCCCUUCAACGAGAGGGUUCCGGGGAGCAACUAGUUAACGAGCAGCUUUGUCUAAAAAAAGCUAACGAGCAGCUUUGGGUGCUCCCUUUGGAAAUUUUUAUAUCUUUUUGCACGCGUUUUUGACUUUUUAAACGGUUUUUUCGACGUUUCAGUUAUUCGUCGGUCUUCCUUAACAUUUGGACCAAAAAAAAGUUUUCGAAAAAAAAAUUUGCGCGAGAGUCACGGUUUUUCUUCCGCGGGAGUCAAGGCCGUGCCUCUCGGAAACAAAAAAAAAGGUGUUUUCUGUUUUUUUUUCCGCGAGAGUCAUGGUUUUGUUUUCGCGAGAGGCAUGGUUGUGCUUUCGUGAGAGUCAUGGCCGUGCCUCUCGGAAACGAAAAAUCGCAUUUUUUGUUUUUUUUCCUUUCGCGAGAGUCAUAGUUUUUCUUCCGCGAGAGACACGGUUGUGCGUUCGCGAGAGUCACGGCCGUGCCUCUCAGAAACGAAAAAAAAGGCGUUUUCUCUUCUUUUUUUCUUCCGCUACAGGCACGGUUUCGCUUCCGCUAGAGGCAAGGUUCUGAUUUCGCGAGAGGCAUGGGCGUGCCUCUUUCAGAAAGGGAAAAAACCCGUACCCCCGGUUCGGUUUUUUCGUCCGGUUUUUUUGUGAAAAAAAGGUUCAUCAAAACCUAUCAACAUGGGAUCUAAUUUUAAAGAUCUCGACGCGAGGAAUCCAACGGUGAAAAUGGUUCGAGAUUUGGACGCACGGUUUAAGAGAUAAAAGGUUGUGAAUAAAUGAAUCUACGAAAAAGGGAAAACUCACAGGUGCGAUAAGUGGCGCACAUGCAGGACGCCACUUGUCACAACCUGGGAAAGUGGGAGUGAUCUUUACAACGAGUACUCCUCAAUUAGUGAUUUCGGAGGGUUCCUACCCUCUCGCUGAAGGGGGGACAUAGUCGCGCCCAUGUAAGUCUACAAAUAUUAACAAAAAUCUACUAAAUGUCUACCUAUUAGUUGGGCCAAGCCUGGGGCUAUAGCCCUAGUUGCCCCAGGCCCAAUUCCGCCCCUGAUUCCUGUUAUUAGCAUAUUUGCCUUUAUGGUUUGGGAAGUUCUGAAUGCUCAUUCCAUAUUCUCUUUUUUAUUUAUUUAUUAGCUUAUUCUCAGCUGAGUUGAAGAAGCAACCUUUAUGCUCCAAACAAGGAUGCGAAGGUUGUGUUAAAAAGAUGUUAAAGAAAUAAGCUUGAAGAAGAGCUAAAGAUUAUUCUUUUUCCAGUUUUUGUGAUAUUUGAGUUAGUCUUUGCACAAAAAAACAUAGAUUUUAUUGUGCAAAUAUUUUGCUUGAAUGUUUCUAAAGAAGAAGAAGAAGAAGAAAUUGAGUGGAUUGAAGAUGGAUGUCAUUGCAAUGACAAUCCCCUGAUAUUUUAUUAAAAGGAGGUGAAAUUACUCCCGAUUGACCAGAAUAAGCCAAGAAGCCAUUAUCUCUUCCUGCAAUUGCAUCAUUCUGAUGCAGAGGCCGGGGCCUUUCCUCCUUAAAAAAAAGAUCUCUUCCUGAAGUAACAUAUGCACACACAGUAAUCUCCCGAUUGUGGUUCAGUAAUUGAGAUGCAGAUCUGGCCUCGUACCUGAUACAGAUCUGGCUUCAUCUGUUGACUGCUCGGUGCUCCGGAGUGGCGCCUGUUGAUAUACUUCUCUUGGGAGGGGAAAUGGAGUGUAAAGUUGGUUGUAUUGGGGAGUAUAUACAUGAUACUAGUAUAUGAUACUACAUUCGUAAUGCAUAAUAUUAUAUGUUAGUAUCAUAUAGAACUAUAUUUAUUGCUAUGUAUGACAUAAAGUAGCACAUCAUUUAAUAUGAUACGGUAUCAUGAUAUUAUACUCAAGCCUCUACCACGUCAUCAAAAUUGCUUAGUUGGCAUGCAUAAUACUAUCUAUGAUACUCCCAUUACGACCGACUUAAUAGAUAGUAUGAUGAAGUAUUUAUUAGUAGCUCAUAAAGAAGGUGAGCGCAAAGCAUUUGGCUGUCAUCUGGUGCACAUGUGGCAUAUUGAUGAGGUGGAUAGGCUGCAUGUCAAGAGAAACCAUGUAGUGGGGAUGAACUAUUUAGAAUAUAUAGAUUAUAAGCAGCAGAGGAGCAGAACAUUUAAUUUGGCAACCUCUACUGUUUUACGAGAACAACAGACGAGUGAAUUGCAAAAAAACAUUGAUAUUGAAGGCUAGGUUUGCAAAAACCACAAGUCUACGUAAUUGUGCCUAAAACUACUAAUUUUUUUGUCUAAAUUUUGGCAAAAAACACUAGUUGAUGGUUUAGAUCGUUUUGAGCAUGAUUAUGACAGGUUAGUCCCACAAAUGAUGACAUGGUGUAAUGGUUCAAGUUAGACGCUGCUAGGUGAGGGUUUUUCUAGAUUUACAAAAUAGAGCCUAUAAUUUUACAAAGACCCCCUUAGUCAAAAAUAAAAAAAAGCAAUCAACUCCUUGAUUUGUCUACCCGAGAAGGCGGGUAGAGCAGCAUUACGCCGGCCGACCAUGAUUCUCGUCGCCGGCGAGGGAGCGCACUGUCAGACUCCACCCCCUCCUCUCUGCAGCAUGGCAGCCUCGCCGCUGCUCGUGCCCGUGUGCGACCGGCACGGCUGCUGCCCGCGCCUGUGCGCCCGUGCAGCAUAUGGCGGGUUGGCAAGGUGCGCCACAGAGCUCUGCCGCUGCUCGCGCCCAUGCACAGUCACCGCGGCUGCGGCUCGCGCCCGUGCAGCAUAUGGCGGGUCGGCAGGGAGGCUCACUGCAUAGCUCCGCCGCUGCCUCACGUCGUGCCCUCCACCACCCCCGCCCGGCACCAGCGCCAGCGAAAGCAGCUUCUGCUCUGGUGUCCGGCUCCCCCAGCAGCUUCCCUCCCGCAAAAGCUGCUACUGCUGGUGCUUCGGCGCCUGCGGCAGCUGCUGCUCCGGGGUGGAAGGGGGCAGCGCUAAGGGCACGUGACCGGAGAGAAGAGACGAGGAGGAGGGUUUGGUUGCUUUUUAACUUUUUGAAGAAGGGUGUUGGUCUAAAAUCCCCAUUGUGCAAAAAAUCGUACCGUGUGCUCUCGCUUCUUUUUCUGUACAAAAAAUCGACACCAUUUUAUACAAAAAACUAUGCAUGGUCAGGAUCAAACUAAUUGUGAACUCAUCUCAGGAAGCAUCUUGAAGCAGAGGAAGUAUCAUGAGAGCUUGAUUAACAUUGUUCUCCACAAGUCCGACUUUUCUACUUUCUUGAACCUUGCCCUCAUAUGAAAUACUCUCUAUAUAAAGAAAUAUAAGAUUAUUUAGAUCACUAAUGUAGUUAUCUAAACACUCCUAUACUUCUUUACGGAGGGAGUAUCUUAUAAAGCAUUGCAAGCUAGAAAAUAUGAAAUACACACGGGAAGAACAAAAAGAAUUACUACUCAAGCUGACCAACCAAACAGUAACAGGAAUAGGAGAUUUCAGAGUCCAUUCCAUUCGUAAAUAAUGGAAAAGCAAAACAUGGACUGUAUACAACAUUGGUUGCUUGUUUAAGUAGUACAGAAAUCCUAAUUCCACCUAGUCAGCUGCUAUCAGCUUAUAUAAAUGCAUGUACUCCCUCCGUUCCAAAAUAGAUGACCCAACUUUGUACUAAGUUAGUACAAAGUUGGGUCAUCUAUUUUGGAACGGAGGGAGUAGAUCCUAGGUUGUAAUCACCAUGAGUUGAAGAAAUAUAAAGAGGUAAUAUCACUGGGAGUCAUAGAACUUGCGCUCGAUAUUUAGUUUGGUGCUAAAACUUUGAAAAUACGGAUUUUCAGUCACUUAACUUAACUCAAACGUGCAUAUACCGUCACAAAAAGCGUGCGUGGACGUAUUAAUGUGUAUGACCCCACCUGUUAGCGAGUAAUGGUGCCCAGCCUAUGUUAUUUUCCAGAAAACACCUUGUACUUUUUAUUCGCGAAAAAACAAACCACCAAUGUACAGAUGAAAUUAACAACAAAAAGGGGGUGUGCCAGCACUCAACCCACGACCGAAGCUUACAAGAAAGACGAACCACUCCACCAAUCAAAUUAACAUGUCAUGUGUAGAUAAUAAACUUCCUUGUGUGUAUUGAAUGCGAAGGCAUGUGGAGCUAAAAAGGCUGCAGAUCGUGCUAUUUUUCUAAUAUAUUUGCAAAACGUAAGUAAAAAUUAUUUUGUUCAAAUAUUUGUGUGUUAAAAUAUUAUACAUACAGAAGAUGGUUACUAAAUAAAAAUAUGUAAAGAUAAACUUGUGUAUUCUAUAAAAAAAUAUUUAGUAAAACACAAGUAAUAAACAUUGGAGAGUUUGCAGAAUAUAAGUAAUAAAAUUAUGUUCAAAUAUCUGUGUGUUAAAACUAUUAUACAUACAAACAGUCAUUCGUAAAUAAANNNNNNNNNNNNNNNNNNNNNNNNNNNNNNNNNNNNNNNNNNNNNNNNNNNNNNNNNNNNNNNNNNNNNNNNNNNNNNNNNNNNNNNNNNNNNNNNNNNNNNNNNNNNNNNNNNNNNNNNNNNNNNNNNNNNNNNNNNNNNNNNNNNNNNNNNNNNNNNNNNNNNNNNNNNNNNNNNNNNNNNNNNNNNNNNNNNNNNNNNNNNNNNNNNNNNNNNNNNNNNNNNNNNNNNNNNNNNNNNNNNNNNNNNNNNNNNNNNNNNNNNNUGAUACAGACAUUGAAAUUCUUUAUUAAAUAAAUAUGUUUAAUGAUAAAAAAUAUACACUCACGGCUUAUAUUGAAAUUAUAUAAAAUGAUGACUAAAAACUUUAAAUUAUUACCUUUUUAAUUAUACAAACUUUUGUUAUAAUUCAUAAAUAUUAUUUUUAAUAUAUGAAUAUUUUUAAAUUAAUACAUAAACAAUUUAAUAGCUUGGUUAUUUUAUAUAUUUUUUGCACACCAGUAGGUCAUUUUAUUUGUAUGUACAAAAUUUGUACAAAAAGAAUAUCUAAAGAUUAUUUUUUUACUGAAAUUAUAAUUUACACAUUAUCUACAAAUUUCGUAAAAAAGAACUAGCGCAAAAUGGGCUGCACUGUCCAUAGCCCAUUUCAGCUCCAGGAGCGCAUUUAUUCUGUACAUUAAGAACCUUAUUCAGAUUAAACCUAUACAUUGGUAUGUUACUGUGGCUAGCGUGUGUUCUUUUCAGGAGCCAAACAUCUGAAAGUUAAUGGCGCAAUGGCUAUACUCUGUUUUCCUGGUAAUCUUGGUUGCUGGUUCAAUACAUGACACCACCAUUUUUUGUGUUAUUUUUCGUACUACAGUUGUUGACUUUUUUACGGAUAAAAAAAUUGCGAGGAGGUUUUGUGUAAAAAUGCAUCAUGGUGGUUGUCUUUUCCCAAGAGUAAAAAAAAAUACAAGGGUGUUUUUCCAAAAAUAACAUCGGCCACGCGCCAUUACUCACUGACGGGUGGGAUCGUACACAUGAAUACGUCCACAUACGCACCUUGUGACCAUAUGUGCACACUUGAGACAAGUUAAGUGACUGGAAAUAUGUAUUUUCAAAGUUCUAGCACCAAACUGAACAUCAAGCGCAAGUUUUAUGACUUCCGUUAAUAUUACCUCAAAUAUAAACAACAUGCAUAUUAAAUGCCAUUGGCUAUCCAAUCAGCUUUCAUUUAUGCUCUUGUGUUGCUAGUCGAUCAAUCGAAUCCCUGCUUUUUUAUUAAUAAUAAACGAUAAUUCCGUAAUUACUGAACUGGUAAACGACUGGUGGAAAUUGUGGAAAUAGGAAGGACGCGGUCUUUAAUGGCAUCCAAAGCUGGCCGUUGUUACUAACCACGUCCAGGUGUGGUCGCUAUUGUUAGCAGCGUCCCUAGUUUUGUUACAGCGCAGUCCCAAAUCCUCCUGAACUGACUGCCCCAAAGCUGUAUCAAGUCCUUGCUGUUGUAGAUUGGCGGCGCCGCCGCUAUCCCUCAGCCGGUAAUGGUGUUCCUCCAGCCUCCCUCACCGCCUUUAGCUCGCCGCUAGUCCCGCCUUUAGCUCUCCGCUAGUCCCACUCCCCAAUCCCUCACACCCGUUGUCUUCAGGGACAAAGCUAGAAAAAAUGUUUGAUGAGAUCGUGUCUAUGACAGUGGGGUCAUCUUCUGCAAAUAGAUAGUGAUUAGUACUAAGUUAGUGAAGGAUUUCUUAAUUUCAUUGGGGUCAAUUGACCCCAAUGCUUACAAGGGAGCUACGUCCCUGGUCGUCCUCGGUUGUUUCUCUCUGCUUUGGCACGACGAGGCUUGACUUCAAGUUCAAUCGUUUUUCUAUAAACAACUGGGUUAAUCUAUUUUUAAUGCACUGGAUUUGAUAGUACUAUCAAUUCCGCUUCCUAGCGAGUAAAACAACUUCAUCGGGUGUCCGCUUCCUAGCAUCACUUAUUAUCUCUGUUUUUGCUUCUACAUUACUAGCACAUAUGCCCGUGCGUUGCAACAGGAGAUACUUUUUUUGCGGAAGCAUCAAGAAAGAUAAUUGAUGUGUCCAUCAAAACGGUCUCCAUAGCGGUGGGGCGACAGAGCGGGGAGCUGCGGUGUUCUCGCAGGUCAUGUUUGGCCCGCGAGAUCUAGAUAGUGGUGGGGUUGGUCGGACUCGCGGCCACAACCCAGCUCGUACCUUUUUUUUUCUCCAGGUCCGCCUCCAUGUCAAGGUUCUGGUUGCCUGCUCACUUUUUGGCCGCUGUGACGAUCUUCAGGGCAUAGUUGCUUCAACCACUCUCUCCUACGAUGGCAUAACCGGAUAGAUUACUAAUAGCAGCGAAACACGUUUCAUUGGCAUAAUCAUCACAUAACCAGGUAGUCCUUAAUUUACCAUGGUGUAUUCUCUUCAAUUAUUUUAGCGCACACUUGCCCACAUUUUUUAUAUGAGCCAAAACAUCAUAUUCUCUUUUAUUGGUAUAUGCCCAUAAUUAUUUUUAAUUAUAGCCAACCAACACAUUCUCUCUUAUCGUCAAAUAGCACAUGUAAUGCACAACAGUUCACGUCUGGGCUAGGCCACUGGCAGGCACUAAAACGACCUACGUUUGUAAGGCGCGAAUAAAAAAAUAAUGAGUUGAAGGAUCAAACUCAUGAUCUCAAAAACUUGACCACGUGUUGCUAGCCAUUCGAGCAAACAACUCCUGCUAACCAAUGGCCAGCGUGAAUGUUUAAGAACAUACUACAACAUCACAUUCAAAAUAUUUUUUGAUUUUUUGAUCUUUUUUGAACUUUGAAAAAUAAAGUAAUUAUUAUGAAUUGCCGAAUAUUCUUUGAAACAUGAGCAAUUUUUGAAAUCCCAUUUUUUAAACGCAGGCACUUUUUGAUAAUUUCAUUAAUUUUUGAAAAAGACACACAAAACUUGAAAUGGAAAGAUUGUUUGAAAUUCAGAAUUUCCUUUGAUAACAUGCACAUUUUAUAAAAAAGGAACAUUUUUUGAAUUUGUGAACAAUUUUUUUAAACAGAAACAUGUUUUGAACAUUCAUUUUUUUGAAAAUAUGUUGCUUUUAACACGAACAAUAUUUUGAAUUUUCGAAUAUUUUAAGAAAACAGGAAUAUUUUUCUAAUUUGUAUUAUCUUUUAAAAUGCAUUUUUAAGUAUUGAAUAAUUUUGGGAAAUUAAAAUAUUUUUUGACAAAAUGCGAACAUUUUGUGAAUUUUGGCCAAAUUUUUGCGAAUAUUUUGUGAACCUUUUUCAACAUGGGACCAAAAUUUUGAAAUUCUUAAGAUUUCUGAAACUUAGAAGAAAAAUAAAAUUUCUGAACAAACUGAAAUUUUGAAAAAAGCAAAAUAAACUUGGAAUGAAAAAAAUAAAAUGGAAAGAGAAGGAAAAAUAAAUAGGAAAAAAGAAAUAGAACACAAAAAAAGAACGAGAACAGGCCGGCCCAAUCUUGGGCGCUCUAUACAAAGCUUUCACUAUUUGGUGCACCGUGCGGCAAAUAAGGCUUUGCAGCUUCAUGGCCAGGAACUAAAUGGCCUGGCGUCGCUGGGCCGUAGCACGCACGCCCAUGUACGGAGUUCUGGACAAAACAGUUUUUUUUAGCAGAUGAACGCAGAACAAUUGUUUUUAUUUUAUUUUUUUUGAACAUUUGAAAAAAAUAUGAAUUGGCGAAUACUCUUGUAAACGUGAAUUAAAUUUUAAACUGUGAAUAAUUUUCAAAAAAUGUGAACAAUGGUUUUCUGAAUAUUCAAAUUUUUUGGAAAAACAUUACCAAAAUUAGAAACAUUAAUAGUUUCUUAAAUUCACAGCCAAUAUUUUUAAAACAUGAAAAUUUUAUAAAAAUACAAUUAUUUUGGAAUUUUUAUUCUCUAAAAGGGGAACAUUCAAAACAAACUUAGAAAAUGUUUUCUUAGACGAAAAUAUUUUUUUUGAUUUGUAAACAUGUGACUAAACCAGGAAUAUUUUAAAAUAUGGAACUUUUCAUAAAAUAUGAUUCUUAUUAAUAAACCUCGAAGAUUUCGGAAAAACAUCAAAAAUUUAAAAUUGAGAAAAUUUCGAAACAGGUAUUUUUUAGAAGUUUCGAACAUUUUUCAAAGCAAGAACAAAAUAUCGAAUUCUGACUGAAAAGAAAUUGAAAUUAUCCAUAUUUUCAUUAAUUUUUAAUUGAUAGAAAAAAAUAAAAAUAAAGAGGAAAGAAAGGAGAAGGAAAUAUAAAAGAGAAAGUGAAAGGAGCAGAAAAAUAGAAAUAACAAUAGAACAUCGCAAAAGGAAAACGGGCCGGCCCAGUCUUAGGCGCCCUGUGGGCAGGUUCAACUAUUUACCGCUUGACGCGACAAAUAAGGUCUUCCCAACUGUGUGGGUAAUAAUAGGUGGGCUAGCUUAGUUGGGCUGGAGCGCGCGUGGCCCAAUGAUGAAAUUCUGGGUAACCUUUUUUUUCUAGUGGAUAGAUGCAGAAAAGUUUAGUACCACCUCGGAUAGAAAAAAAUAUUUUCGACGGUGAACGGAUGAAAAAAUUGGAGAAACGCACCUUGCUUUAUUAUAAUAUAAUAUAAUAUAAUAUAAUAUAAUGUAAUGUAAUAUAAUAUAAUAUAAUAAUAGCACAUAUGCCCAUGUGUUGCAACGGAAGAGAUAUUUCUUUGCCAGAAGCAAUCUGAGAGAUAAUUGAUGUAUCCACCAAAAACGAUCUACAUAGUGAUGCGAUGGAGAGAGGAGUUACAGUCUUAUCGUGGGUCAUGUUUGUUCUGCGUGAUCUUGAUAGUGAUGGGGAUAGUCGGCGGGCGGCAACCAUCCAACUCGUGCCUUUUUUUUUCCUUUGGGUCCUCCUCGGUCUCGGAAUUGUGUCUACCUCCUCAUUUGGUAGCUAUGCGGCGACCUUCGGGGCACGGUUGCUUCGACCACUCUCUCUUACGAUGGCGUAACCGGAUGGAUUACUAAUUGUACCGCAUAAAUCCCAUUUCAUUAGCAUAUUUAGCGCAUAACCAGACAUCAAUAUCCCUUCUUUUUGGGGUUUAUUUUCUUUGAUUAUUUUAGUGCUCAAGUGCCCACAAUUUUUUUAUUUGAGCAAAACCAACAUAUUCUAUUUUAUUGGCCCAAGAAAAAAAUUGCUCCCUCGGAUGACCAGUAGGGGAGUGCGGUUGAGGCCCAAUACUGCCUGUGUGACGGAGCAAUUUUUUCUUGGGCUAAUUGCGUGGGAGCUACUAUAUGACGCUUGUUGCAUAAAAUAGAGCGUAAGAUGCACGUCAGUUCGUGUAUGGGCCAACGCACUGGUAAGCUCCAAGACGACCCCUAUUUGUAAAGCGCUAAAAAGUUUAGAAAAUGAUGAGUUGAAGGAUCGAAAUCAUGCUUAAAGACCUGACUACGUGCUGCUAGUCACUCGAAGAAAUGAGUCCUACCAACCUAGGGCCAGCUCAAACCAUUAAGAUCAUGUCAGAUUGGAAACAAAUUUUGGUUUUUUGAACUUUAAAAAAAUAUAAGUUGCAAAAUAAUCUUGGAGACAUGAAUAAUUUUGAAAAUCCCAAACAUUUUUAGAAAUUCUUUACAUUUUCAAAAAUAAUAACAAAAUUUUAAACGUUCAAAAUUCUUAAUUGUAUUUGAAAACAUGAACCUUUUAUAAUUACAUGAACAUUUUUUGAGUUCGUGAUAAUUUUUCAAAAAAGGAAAAAUAGUUUGAACAUUCAGAAUAUUUUUUUAAAUGGGUUUCUUUCAACUUGAACGUCAUUCUGAAUUUGCGAACAUGUCACUAAAAUAAGAAUAUUUCUCGUAUUGGAACAUUUUUAAGAUGCAAUUUUUUUGGCAAAUCUCAGGAAACUUUGGAAAACACAAAGAAAAGAUGUAACAUUUUUAGAAAUGUGAACAAUUUUUUUAAUGAGAAAAAGAUUUAAUGUUCUGAACAUUUUUCAAAAUGGAAUGUAUUUACAAUUCUGUUUUUUUUGAAAGAAAUCAAUGUUUUCUGAUAGUAUGAACUUUUUUGAAAAUUUUGAAUUUACUAAAGAAAGGGAGAAAGGGACAUAAACUUAAAAAAAAAAGAGGAAACAAAAAUAGGAAAAAACGGAAAAAUAAAAAUAGAAACCUAACACAGAACAAAAAAUGAAAAUGGUUCUGCCCAGCUUGGGUGCCCUGUGUGAAUUUGAGACUAUUUUUGGAAUGAGAAGAAAGAUUUAUUGUUCCGAACAGUUUUCAACAUGAAAUAUAUUUGAAAAUUCUGAACAUUAUUAAAAAUUCGAAGUUUUAUGAUAUUACAAAAAUUUUGUAUUUACGAAAAAUGGGAGAAAUAAAAAUAAACUUGAAAGACAAAAGACAAAAGAAAUAGGAAAGAAAAGGAGAAAUACUGACGUUACUGGCAGAGACAAUAGUGAGCGGUCUUGGGGAGACUCUUCGUAUAGUCUUAGGGAAAUCUGAGGUGGUAAUCUAAAGAACUUACAAGCGUUGGAGCAAUGUUAGCUGGCCAAAGGAAGCAUCUAUUUCACCAACCAACCCACUGGAUGACAAGUUUCUGCAAGGAAGAUGGAACAAUCAUCAUACGUGGAACUGCACACACUACUCAUUUUACAUCGCAUAUAAUUAUGUUCUUUAGAACUCACAGGGCAGUUAUUCUUGGGGGACCACCGGGAAUGUAACUGCAAUCCAAACCAUACCAUGCAAAAGAUAUAGGGGCGCACGGAUCACCCACCCAGUUUCUCUUCACCGCAAACUUUGUCUGGAUUGUCAUCAUAGCAUUGGCUGAAGAUACCAAAUAAACGUGUAGGCGAAAAUGUACAUAUUCAGUUAUGCACAUAUCGGGAUGAACGAAACACCCAUGCACUAAAACUAAACUGAGCAGAAGAACACUGAAACUACAUUCAGCAGAACAUUAUUGAGAUGAUGUGGUAGAUACGUCCAAUUAUGCACUUAUGUGUGUAUUUAUAAGUUAAGAUCUACGUAAGUUAAAAUAUAGUGUGUGAAUUUAGCAUGAUUUCUUUUAAAUUCUACUAAUCAGAACCAAAUUUUUUUGGUUUUGAAUUCUCAUGAAAAGACUACUCCUUGCCUCAGCAGUUAAGUAGCACAUUAGUUUUGGUGACUUGACUGACCCAAGUAAUCUUACAUUCUUAAGAAGUUGAUCCCCACUACUAACAAUUCUCUCAACAUGCAGCCCGUCCACAUCAUCAUCUAGCCACCUCAGGAAUUUUCAUCCACGUCACUUCAUCUCUUCAUUAUAUUUUUUUCUUUUCCACGCUCACGUAGCAUCCCUUGCUGGCAUAUUUCCCCCUAAUGUUUUUUUACCAGUGCGUCGCUACCUCAGCCCACCAUCCACUAUGUACUUACAGUUAAUUCCCACUGUCCCACACGAUUCUAUAAGAUUAAUUGAGGAGGCAUUUGAGCGGCCGGCCGGAGCAGUGAUGUCGCCCAUAUUCAGAAGCCUAUCACGAUGGUUCACUUUCAUCUUCCCUAAAUAUACAUAUCUCCACAAAAUUUGCCUUCGAAGUCUUCAAAUAAAAACAGUUCCUCUUUGUUAAGCUUCAUGCACUAGCCAACGCAACCAAAAGUCCGAACUGAUGGAAAGGGCUAGUACAAUCCACAUAUACUGUAACACCCCCUCUCACGUGUGACGGGGAAGACAAGUCAACACGUGCAACCGGAAGAGAGCGACGGUGCGCGAAACUCACGUAUGACUCAAGAGGCCUCUACGUGGACACAAAGGGGGGCUAUCAGCAAUUUUUAAAUAAAUUGCGCAAACCAGGACUUGAACUCAAGACCUUAGCUUUGAUACCAUGUUAAGCUUCAUGCACUAGCCAACGCAACCAAAAGUCCGAACUGAUGGAAAGGGCUAGUACAAUCCACAUAUACUGUAACACCCUUCACAUCCUCGCCCCGAUGUACCUCACGAGCCCGACUUUUCUUUGGCGGCGUCCGUAUAUGAAGAUGCGGCGCCGGCUUGAGGGAAUUGGGCGGAGGAGACCUGGGGACGACGAGGUGGUUCCCUCAUCUCACAGAAAACCGAGCGUGUUCUUCCUCCCUCCCCUCUCGAGACUUGCGGCGGCUAUGGAGCGUGGGCACACGUUAGCAACGGAUGGAGGGCUGCAGCACCGGAUCGAGGUGAGUCCAUCUCCCGCUCUCUCUCUAUCUAGAUCCCUCUGGAUGGUGUGUGUGCUCCGCGCCGGCCAUGUGUGCGACCGGGAACGAACAAAUCAGACCUAGGUGGAUGUGACUAGAUGGCUGGAGGCCUUCGCCGCCGACCCACACAUCGGCACCACCUCCCGCGUCGUCUCCAAGUCCGUUUCCUGCUGAUUAGUUCUUCUUCUGUCUGUUGAUCUCAGUUAGUUCGUCCCUUCAUCAUCAGGCCAUCAGUCAUCACUACAGAUGGAGCAAGGAGGAGCAUUCAGCUGUACUUUCCACAGCCACUGAUUGCACCACGCAGGUCAUACGGUGCUUUGCAUCUGUGAUAAGAAUAAGAUUAAUCUGAUCUGAUCUGAUUACUGUUCUCAAUUUCGCUGGUUUCUUCAAACUGUUUGUUGCAGGAAUUGUCAGAAUGGAAUGCGAAAUAUUGCGACAAGUUUGGAUUUGUCUUCAUGAUAUGCGUGUCCAGGAGGACCGCCCCUGAGGUCUUUGCCGAGCUUAAGUUCUGCAGAUGUCCAUUCCAGUAGUUGAUUUCUGUAAUUGACGACAUGUAUGCCUGUUUGGGUUGUCAUCUCAACAAUCCUUCCAACAGUAUUUGGAUAUGCUCGCCUUAAAUUCCAAUAUGUGGUUUUUGUAAUUGACAUGUAUGCCUGUUUGGAUCAUCUCAACAAUCCUUGCAGCAGUAAUGAGUUUUUUUUUGGUGUGCUUAUGUGUUGUGUGCCGUUUGGGUGUGCGUGCGUGCACCGGCCGGUUGUGCUGGUGCUAAUCCUCUCUCCCAGUUGAUUCCAAGGCACUGUACUAAUCCUUCUCCUCUGUUUGUAGGUGCACAAAAGUCAGGCCACGACGUGGAGUUAGGCGGGGGUGGACUGGAGAACUUCUCUCUGUUAAUCCUGUCUUUCUCUCUCUUAAUAAGUUUAUCUAUGUACUCUCUGUGUUAACUGUGCGUGUGUGUGUGUGUGUGUGUGUGUGUGUGUGUGUGUUAAUCCUGUAUGAAGAAUCAACAUAAUUCUGUGAAUUUCAGACUUUGGGUGAAAGCAACGGGUUCAGUGGGCAUGCGUGACUAUAUCCUUCUGGUGCAUUUAAUAUAUGUAAUUGAGUGAACAAGUUGCAUAAUGAUAGUUUCCUAUUUUCUUUCUAUAGAGUUAUGUUAUCCAAUGCACAUAAUUAGUCAGAAGAGGGAGCUUUCUGAUGCAGGUACAACUAAACACUAUAUUUAGAAGACCAAAGCCGUAAGGAUCUAUCGGGACUAAUGACAUUUGUUUAUCUCCUGUUGUCGGAUCAAUUAAAGUAAAUGUACCUCGGUGUUAUGCAGAUUGCACACAAUCAAGACUUGGGGUUGUAGCUAGGUGUUCAAGUUUUAGCUGCAGCUUGAUAGUUUAUUCCACUUGCAGAGAGAGUGGAAAUAUUGCCUAAAGGUUUAACCAUUCUCUUUCCGAUUGUUCGUCUAUUGUCCAAGCUUUGAAUGAUAUAAGUUGGAGGUUUGAUCUUACUUACCUAUUUAUCAUUCUAAAGUAUGUUCAAAUAAGAAUCGUUUAUUCAUCAUUUUGUCCUUUUAGUUGAGUAGUUGAUGAGUAAAACACCAACUGUAGGCAAUAUUUUCCGCAGCAGCGCGCGGGGUAUCAUCUAGUCAAAUUAGAGCUACCAACAUAAGAAGAGGAUGCCAUAGUAUACCAUCUAAAGAUGCAGUAGUAGAUUCAUUCAGGGGCCACACCAUGAAUAUCUCCAUUGCGUUGAUCAAAGGCGGGAGCACAGAUUUUGAUGUUGCCAGGAGGGAGAUGCUGUGCUCGCCUGAGCCUUGGACAAUCGCUGGGAGAACAGUAGCAAUCAAGUAGGUUGGACUGAAUCCAGCAACUAAUUGGUUGUUGUCCACUGAUACAUCAACUUGCCUCAACCCUUGGACAGCCUCCAGCUCAGCAAAGUAGAGUGCAAGAGAGUACUUGGUGUCAACGCCAACACCCAUGGAUGCAUCUGCACUCCAGGAUAUGUCCAUCCUUGAACCAUUCACUGGAGUGGAUGCACUACGCAUCACUGCCGAUGGUGCAUCGUAGUUGUUGUUUGGAGAAUUCUGGACAGGCUCAUCCGAUUUGUUGGUUACAUCUGUCCAGCUGGGAACAUCUUGGUAUCUUUGCCACAUACGGUCGUAGGGGUCAUCUGGGAACCUUGGGUAAUUAUUAAAAGGAAUAACAUUGAGCAUGGUCAAUUUAACGUAAUAAGAAGAAGAAAGGAAGAAACAUUAAUUACAUAGUCUAUCAACCUAUCUAAGUAAUAACUUUGCUCAAUCUGCUCACCUAAUGUGCCCAUAGUUUGUUCCGAAGUGGUAGCGAUUGGGUCCAAAACCAACUGUGUCAUGAAAAAAGCUAAGCAAAACAAGGGCCUGUCCCACAUUGGCCUGCGGAUAAAGAUUUUCUUUGAGUGACCUCAAAUCAAGCCCUGAGAUGAAAGGUGUUCCGGAUCCUAUAUUCACCAAGCAAAUCUGCAGGAAGUCGGCAGGGCACAAAGCAAUUAUCUCAAACACAUACGCUGUACUAGAAUUGACAAUGGUCACUGUUGUCCAGUAGUUGGCCCCGAAGUAAAGAUCAAAGGUAGGAAGCCUAUUUAGCUUGUCAUAGUCACCAUAGCCAAAUGCAGCCCUAACAAGGUACUUGCCACCCGGUUUUAGGGACCGCAGUGUAUAGCAGUUACGUUCUCCGCUUGGAAAGAAGCGAAGAUUAUGGUACCGGUAUGCAAGGUCGGGUUGCAAAUUCUCCAUGUCAACAUUGUGGAUCAGUCCUGUAUCAGUGAAACCCUCAUCCCAUACAUAUGAUAUACCUAUCUUGGAAUCUGUGUAAGUCGGGUCUGUGGUAUAUCCACAGUCGAUGCUUAUGAAACCUGACAAAUGGAUAUGAAAAUGGAAUGGGUGUUAGGAUCUAAUAAAUGCAUAUUUUCUGACCCUGUCAACAACGAUCAUUGCCGUGCUACAAUUGCAAGCAACCAGACAAGCCUGAAAAAGUGAUACAACAUGGUUUUUUCAUGGAAAACAUAGUUUUGAUCUUUAAGAAAACUACAAACACAGCAGCAACAAACCCUUUCCGAAUCUUGCCCUUUGUCGUCUCGCUGCACCCAAUCACCUCCUCCUGUCUCACAUCACUAAUCCCGUUCAUGGCAACUGCCAAAACCCAUCUAAAGAUGGCAUAUAAGGUCCCCGAGUAAACAAGUUCAAUCUUGUUCCCCGUGCUUGUGGGGUAUCAUUUUUUUCAGUAAUAAUGGGUGAAUUUAUUGAUUUAAAAUAAAGCAUCAAGGGGACGCAAAUACAACGAGUCACCCUAGGCUUCUGCAUAUUUAGGAUGCAUAGAGCUAUAAAACACGUCGGCAAAAAGCAAAGUCAUAUAACACCAAACCUAUUCCUCGGCGGAGGAAAAGGAAAAGGAAACCUUUGGCAGCAUGAAUUUCCUUGCUAAUAUUCUUCCUGUCACGGGAAGAUUUACCACGUAGACAAAAUAAUUGGUGCAAGCUAGUCAAGAGAGAAGGGAUGUUAUUAGUCAGUUACCGUGACUGUCAAGCUGACCAUGGAUGCAAAUGGAGCUUAAAGACGUCGUAAACAGCAACACAACCAUGGUCCAGCGACGCACUGCAUGAUCCACCCAUUGUGAAGGCAUAUGGCACCCCAAUUACAAAUUCGCCAAGACCCAACCUCACCGUUUAUUUAUAUAUAGUAAGAGAGACAAUGGUAUAAUGAAACAGGACGGAGUCUACCAUAUAUAGAAGGGGUGACCCAAAGAAGCACACAUCGUAAUCCUCUCCUCAAACAGUAUGGCGCCAAACAACAACUAGAGUUGUUUGGGCAAUCCAAUACAACAGUGGCAAAGAAACAUUUUCUUUAUCCCCUUCUUUAUGCAUCUGUGGACCAACAGCUAGUACGUAGCUUGUGAUGCCACAGCUAAGCCAGUAUGCAUAUGUGAAACAUUUUCCUUAUUAUGCAUAGGCCAACCGAGAGCAGAGCCACCAGACACAACACCAACACCGCACCAUGCCGACAAGGAUGCCACCCGAGGUCGCGAGCCACAAUGGUUCCAUGUCGCAGCUCUAGAUUCUCACGGAUGCGAAUGCCAGGGAUGCCAAGGAUGACGUACCAAGCACACCACCACUAGAUUCUCACGGAGCACCGUCGGGUUUCAGCCCCAAAGCACACAGAGGCUCUAAUGAGAUGGGCACAGCCGCAACCCAACCUGUCGUCGAGCCUUGCAUCCCAGGCGCCGCGCGCCGUGGCUCCACGCGCUGCCAUGGAGCACCUGGGACCGGCCGUCGUCCCAGCAAGCCCCCAACCUCCUUAGCCGAGGCAUAUCGUCGCCGCAGGUAUUUGAAAAAAUGUUGAUCGGGCAUUUGAAAACAAAAUAUUGGACAAGUAUUUGAAAAAAUGUUGAUCGGGCAUUUGAAAACAAAAUAUUGGACAAGUAUUUGAAAAAAUGUUGAUCGGGCAUUUGAAAAAAAAAUGUGGAACAAGUAUUUGAAAAAAUGUUAAUGAAGCAUUUGAGAAAUGUAAAAUUUGUAUAUAAAAAGUGUUGACCAUGCAUUAAAAAAAUAUUGAUUGUUUUAAUCAUCUAUAUAAUUUUUUUAAUCAAUCCUUUAGACAAUGUUGAACAAGUGUUUGAAAAAAUGUUAAUCAAGCCUUUCAAAAAAUUUAAAUGUGUAUAGGAAAAAUGUUGACCAUAUAUUGGAAAAAUAUUAGUCUUUAUAUUUCAAAAAUUGUUAAUCAAGCAUUUUAAAAAAUAUAUAGAAAUGUUGACCAUGUAUUAAAAAAAUGUUUAUCAAGCAUUUGAAAAAUAUUAAAAAUGUAUAAUAGAAAUAAUGCUUUUUUGCAGAAGUAAUAUAAAAAAUGUUGGUCACAUAUAAAAAAUGUAUAAUGAAAACCAAAAGGUAAUAAAGAUAAAACCAAAAAAAGGAAAGCGAAAAAUAAACAAAAUAAAGAAAAGAAAAAAGAAAAUGCAAAAAAACUGAAGAAACAAACUGAAAAAACCGGGGAAUAAAAUGAAAAGAAACAAAGGAAAACAAAAAUAAAAAAAGGAGAAAACCGGUGGUGGCUAGCUGCUUCAAGUACGUCGAGCCCCCUUUAGUUAACACGUGGCAUGUAGGGCUGCAUGAAAAGCUCGAGGCUCAUGAGUCGCUCGAGAUCGACUCGUAUUUUUGCUCGACUCGAGAUCGACACGAAAAGAAAUGAGCUGAGUAUGAACGCUUUAUGCAGCUCGAUCGAGAAAUGAGCUGAUCUUGAGUCAACAAUGGCUCACUCGAUUUUAGCUCGAUAGCCUGAGAUAAUAUGAUAUAUUACAUAACUUUUGAUAUAUAUUGAAGAUAAAUGGGACAAUCUAUUACCAUAUAGAUAGUCAAAAAUAAUUUAUUACCAUAUACAUCGUCUAUGAUUUUCCAUAGUUUUACCUACUACCAAUCGUGGAAAAGUAAUUAACCAUAGAGAAAAUUUAGCCCCACUAUGGUAUGUGAUCACCAUGUGUUAAAUAUAUGGAGUAUGUACAGGUCACCUUCUCAAAGAGUUGGAAACCAUUGUAGUAUUUUUUUUGCAGCCGUUGUAGGGUUUUUGACGUCACAGGGCUUGUCCUUUUGGAUCUUCUACUGGUGGAGCUGGCACUUUUUGUACAUCCAUAUUGUGAGCUGAAAUUUCACUGGAAUAAGAGAUAAGUGAGUAGAUCCAGUUAGUGCUUAAUAAUAAUUUCACAUAAAGACAACAAAACAAAAAUACGAGAGAAAUAUCUCACACUAGUUCACCGAAGUUUUGCUUUGGUGGCAUGUCCAGCUCAUCUAAACCUCUCUCAAACAUUUCAAGAACUCUUGUUAUAGUAGGGCGAUAUAUUUGUAAUGCUUGUAUGCACCACAAUCCCACUAAGGUCAUUUUUCUUGCUAUCUCCGCAGUUUCACUUGUUACAUCACAUGCUUGCAUACCUUCAUCCUGAGUAAAAUGGUCAUAAAUCCAAUUUGUGAAAUACUUUUCGUUGGACUUUGCAACAAAUCAUUUUACGUUUCUCCUUCCUCCGACCAUCUCCAACAGCAUCAUUCCAUAACUAUAAACAUCUGACUUGGUUGAAACCACUCCGAAGGUUGGAGAGUGAACUUCUGGAGCGAUGAAUCUAAUUGUUCCUCUAGCACCAGUCAUUGAAACCUUGCUUUCUUUUGUAUGACACAAUUUAGCUAGACCAAAAUCAGCAAUUUGGGGGCUAAAAUCCUUGUCUAGAAGGAUAUUUUGAGGCUUUAUGUCGAAAUGCACAAUGCGCGUAUUACAACUAUGGUGCAAGUAUUUGGGACCACGGGCAAUCCCGAUUGCUAUUGCAUAGAGCUUAUCCCAUCCUAAAAUUUCCAUGGGGUCCUCUGAGUAAAUGAACUUAUCUAAGGAAUUGUUGGACAUGUACUCAUAUAUAAGAGCUCGUUUUGAUCCCUCCAAACAAAACCCAAACAAGCUAACAACAUUGACAUGAGAAGUCCUGCCAAUGCUCAUAACCUCAUUCACAAACUCGCCCCCGUUUCCUUUGCACUCAUGCAAGACUUUCACUGCUACUAGACGGCCAUCAAGUAGCGUUCCUUUGAAUACCACACCAUAACCACCUUUCCCAAGCUCAUUGCUGCAAGAGGAUGUUAUCUUCAUUACCUCUGAGUACAUGUAUCGUUUUGGAGCUAGGGAUCUAUACGAUGCAAUCAUGGCCUCAUAAUUAUUUUCAUUGUUUCCGCUAGUCUUCUUGCAAAGGAGAAACCAUAGUAUUCUUCCUUUUCUAUGCCAUACCAGCACAUAAAUACACGAGAAUAGAAGGUUGCAACAAUUGAUGUCAAAACUGAGAAGAAAGGAUAUGUUAAUUCCUUUUGUAAACUAGAGGCCAUAGUACAGUAAUUAUGAUUUCCAAGACCAUCAGUAGUUUAAUUUUUUCUUUAUGCAACAUUGUGUGGUGGAAAAAGGUAUUAACAAGCUAAAUUUCAUAAAUUCUUGCAUUAGGCAUCUCCAACUCUGACUCAUAAAUCGUACACCCUAUCCGUCCGCUGAACGUUGGGGACUAGUCCACGAAGAAUGAUGUGGGAGGGAGCCAUCCAACCCUUAAUCAAAAGAACCCCGUUUGAAUUGUCCGGCUGUGAGGAGAGAUGUGAGGAGGGACCAAUCAUGUGGUUCCUUUUAGUGGUUAUGUGUGUGUGGUUUUCGGUUGGGAGGAGAGAGGGGAGAGAGAGAAAAGAGAGGAGGUCCCCACGUGGUUGCCUUUUUGUUGGUACAAUGGAUGUCCGGACAACCGCAUAGCAGCCCCCCCCCCCCAACCACACACACAAGUUCCUUUUGGUUAUAGACGUUUGGAUCGCUCCAUGGACCAAGGGGUCCCCAUUGGAUGGCAAAAGUUGCCCGGACAUUAUAAUCUCGACAUAUACCGGAACUUUGAGGGUUUUCUUUAGAGAAGCCCUUAUUCACAGAUUGAGAGCUGCUUGUCUUAAAUUUAAUUUUAGAUUCACUUUUUCAUGAUUAUAGGCAUGAUAAAUUUUGAAUUUACCAUUUCACCAUGAAAAACACUAUUCAUGGACUACUGGUAUUUAAAUCCUCUGUGUGUGAAAAUAUGGUGAAAGUUUUAGCAUACCUAUUAUCAUAAUCUUUGUGACGGCCCUCCCGGUACCUGGAAUAUGACAUGACAUUUAUGAGUAAAACCUCUGUUGUCCAAUAAUAGUACCCCCUCCGUUCUUAAAUAUAAGACGUUUUGGCAGUUGAAAUUGAACUGCCUAAAUGUCUUGUAUUUAGGAACAGAGGGAGUACAUUGGUUGUUUUUUUUCAAAAGAAAGAGAUAGGCGUAGUAUACGAAUCUUCAAUAUUUUGCGAAUGAAAUAUGUAUGGAAGAAAUAAAUAAAUUUCAGUGGGGUCCCGAAUUUCCAGUGGGGUCCCGAAAGUCGUGAUGGGCUAGGAGGACGUAGCCUGAAUUCAGAUAUCGAGCCUGAAUUCAUUCGCAAAAAGGGCUUGAAUUAUAAUCCUCCGUGCUUAUUGAGUCUAAAGUUCAAUACUAUGAUAGGUUCUUUGUGCAAAUAUAUAUUACAUGUGUAUAAAGGUAAGCUUUGCAUUAUCCAAAUGGUUCAAGUAUGCCAAACAAAUUGCUCAAUGCAACCCACUUAGAAAUAUUUUAGUUGACCAUUUAAUUUGACCACACAACCACAAGUAUGCCAUAGAGUUAAUGUAUGUUUCAGAAAAUAGUUAAACACAAGCAUGCUUACUAAGAAAUGCAUUAUCAUAUCAUGCACUGACAUAUAUCAACAUCUCUGAAAAACUUGCAGAAGCAAAAAUAGAAUGCAAUAGAAUAAAACUUAUUGUUGAAGUACAAGGAGACAAGUUCAUAUCUAAAGUCAUCACCUACAUGUAGCCGUAUUGGCAUCACAAUGUUGGUGAGGGUAAUCUUCUAAAACAAUGUGGGUAACAACCUAAAAGGUAUUUGUAUUGUUUAAGGAUUGGGUGAUGUCAAGAAUAUAUCAUGAUGUGAAAUUAGCACAAACUUUUGGAAUUUGCUAAAUCAAGUCAAAGAAAAGUAACUUAUGUAGUAAGCGUUACGCUGACCUCCAUGGCUAGCAUCUACCUCCAGAUCAACUCCCGUGAAAGGUUGCCUCGGAGUACUUCAGCUCCCCCACUGCAAUCACAUCAUAUUUCUCAUGAAAACCAAGUUAUAAACUCAUACUUCAAAUACAUAAAAAUUGGCCUGGCAUGCACAAACUACAUUUAAAUUAAGCCCAAUGCCACUAAUAAUUGUAACCUCUAUAUCAGUAUACAGGCCGAGUGGUAAGACAUAUAGCAAUAUCAUAAGUUGGCAUGGANNNNNNNNNNNNNNNNNNNNNNNNNNNNNNNNNNNNNNNNNNNNNNNNNNNNNNNNNNNNNNNNNNNNNNNNNNNNNNNNNNNNNNNNNNNNNNNNNNNNNNNNNNNNNNNNNNNNNNNNNNNNNNNNNNNNNNNNNNNNNNNNNNNNNNNNNNNNNNNNNNNNNNNNNNNNNNNNNNNNNNNNNNNNNNNNNNNNNNNNNNNNNNNNNNNNNNNNNNNNNNNNNNNNNNNNNNNNNNNNNNNNNNNNNNNNNNNNNNNNNNNNNNNNNNNNNNNNNNNNNNNNNNNNNNNNNNNNNNNNNNNNNNNNNNNNNNNNNNNNNNNNNNNNNNNNNNNNNNNNNNNNNNNNNNNNNNNNNNNNNNNNNNNNNNNNNNNNNNNNNNNNNNNNNNNNNNNNNNNNNNNNNNNNNNAAUGAAAGUAUACAGACUACAUGUAUUUUUUGCAAAAUAUACAACUACGUAUACAACUACUAAGAAUAUUCAAAACUGUAAAUCUUGUAACUUCCACUUGUCAACAUUAUUUGUCCAUAUUGAUUCCUUCAAUGCAAAGCAUAGGCAUAGUUGGCAUGGUCAUACAUUCUACAUGGGAUAUUGAAUUUUAGAUUCUUUCCGUAUGCGUAAACAGUACCGAAAAUAACGUCCUUUCCUAAAAGAAAAAUAAAUGAAAUAGUAACAUUUGAUAGGCACAAAUCAGCAAAGUUGACAUAUUCUGUACAAUUACAAGAAUAGAAGAACCUUGGAAUAUAUUGCUACAGUACAGAAAAUAGCUUCCUUUCAUAAAAGAAAAAUGGAUAAACUCUUAACACUUGAUAGGCACAAUUCUCAAAGUCAAGAUAUACUAUACAUGAAUAAAAAAAGGUCUUCACAUGUUAUUUUCUUCAGACAAUCGAACAUAUCUUGUACGUACAUUAAUAAAAUAAUAUAUUCACAUUUAUUUUCUUUAGCCAUGUGAUCAACUGAAAUAACAAAGUUUUUCCGUGAGCAUUAUUCGUGUGAAUCCAAAAUUAAGCAUAAUUAACAAUCUCACAGCCGUCCAUGAGAAAUUUGUGGCACAUAAAAAAAUUGUGGGAGGGGGCAGGGGGUGCUCACCGUGGUCCUCCCAGCCGCAGGACACCACCACUUUGUGGAUCUUUCUCCCACCUGCCUCACGAAUCCACACGAACCAGCGGCAAGGUGUGCGUGUGUGCUCAUAAUCCACACCAACCAUCUCGAGUUUCUGCAAUAUUUUUCAAAAUUAUGAAACAUAAAACUAAAGUUGCAUAAGCUGGCGAAUAUAUUAGACAUAAAAAAUCUUGUAACAAAUUGAAUAUAGUUUUGAGCCUCUUGUUUGGUUUCAUCUAUACGCCGCAUUCAACAUGGAUCAGUAUAUGAAAUACCCAUUAGCUUGGACUAAUGAGUAUCUAGAGCAUGUGUGUAAUCUGAAAUGAAUCGAGGGCCAUCUGAAAAUUUAACAGGUAAGCUUGAUCAAAAAAUACUUACAUGAAUCAAGAGACAUCUUCAAGAAGGCCAAAUAAGCAUAUACAUGCCAGCAGGAUUCAGAAAACCACAGAGGAGACGGCGGCCAGGGAGAAAACAGGCACAUGAGUACAGUACAGACUAAUGCAAACGGGCAGAAAAUCUAUGCCUUCUGGUUGACUGGACUGUGUACCUCUGCUGCUUAGAAAUUGGAUAUGUGUAGAGAUGGCAAUACAACCAGGAACCCAAUUACUUGAACUGAAGAUCAAAUAUCCACAUUAGAAUCCCCAUAUGCGAAACUGAAUUUGCAUAGUAUAUACAAAUAGUUACAUGACUAGCGUGUAAAUUAGUACUGUGAAGUAGGAGUUCAACCACAGUACCUUGUACCAAAAAAACAUACAUAUGAAAUGAAAGGGAAAGGGAAACAUGGAUGCUUACCAUACUGGUCACCGGCCAACGAACACAAGGCGAAGACAAUGACUGCAAAAAUUGAUAGAACCAGAGGGAUAAUUCUACUGCCUGGUUGUUGUUAAAUUCAGAAUGGGCGUUAGCGGCAUCGUCAUGAAGUGAAAUGGAAUCAGAUGUGUAGGGCAGAGUUUCGCAAUAUACCUUAGCCUUGACCUUCUCCCUGCGGCCAGCUGUCAAAUGCAUCGAUAGCCGAGACAUUGAACUGGAAUCAGGACGGGAGAGGUCUUGACCGCGCCGUUGUCGUCGCCUGCCCGUUACCUUCAAGGACGUCUUCAUCAAGGGUUGUCCGCCGCUGCCGCCGCCUCAAUAGGGUUGCGAGUGUAGUGCUGCCACUUCGCAUGUUCCUUACGCAUCGGCGGCAUCUCGCUCAAGCUGGCAGCACAUCAAUGAUUCACCCUCGGUCAUAAGAGGGAAGGGAUCGGGAGGGAUGGGGUUUGGGGAUGAGUGGAAACGACGGCUGCAAGAGUAGCAGCGGCCCAUAGGGAGUAGGAGAUAAGCAGAGGCGGCGGCGGCGUACCUGGGGAAGAGGAGACCUGCAUCGUCGUGCCUCCUUCUCUCGUACUCUUUUUUUAGGCGUCCUUCUCUCGUACUCCUUUUCUCCACAUCGUGUCAAUUCGCUUAGUGCAGGUCUGUAAGGAGGUUGUUAGAGGCCCAUUAGGCCCAAUUUAUAUGGAGCGCCCAAAAAAGCGAUGGGAGCAGCGGCCCAGGAUGGUUAGCGAUCGUUAUUAGCGAACAUAGCCGGAUUCGGAGCGAUUCACAGCUCAUCUAACAGCCAAAAAUGCUUCAAACUGACAAUCAGACGGCCGGGAGCGAUGAUGCCGGAGAGGGCUGGAAAAGUGCUCAGUUUUAAUAUAUCAAAAUAGAAAAUACCGGAAGCAACCGCCCCCCCCCUUGGGACAGCCCAUGUGGAUUGCCUGGGCACCCUUUUGUAUUUCAUUUCUGUUUUUUCGCAUCAAUAAAAUUUGACAUUUUCAAAAAGUUAAUAAAUAAAAAAAAUUAAUGAAUAUGAAAAAAAUGUUCAAAGAUUUCACGAAAAUGUCUGCUGAUUCAAAACAUGUUCACGCAAUUCUCAAAAUGAAGAUUUUUUGCGUUUGAUGAACAAAUUUUGAAUUCGACGAAUUUUGAAGUUGAUGAACUAAUUUUUAAUUGGAUGAAGAUAUUUCAAAACUUGAUGAACAUUUUUUAUUCAAUAAAUAAAUAUUUUAUGGACAAAAUUUUAUUGUGAUGGACAUUGUUGAAAAUUGAUAAACAUCUUUUUAUAUUCGGUGAACAAGUUUUGAAUUUGUUAACUAAUAUGUGGAUUCAAUGAACAAAAAAUGAAUUCGUUUGACAUUCGGUGACAAUUAUUGAAUUUGAUGAGCAAAAAUGAUCACUUUUUGAUACAAAUGUUUUUGAAUUUGAAAAGGCAAAUCGGAAAAUUAAGGAAAAUGUAAAAAAGAAAAAAAGAAAAAAAGAAAAAAGGAUAAGAAAAUAGUAAAUAAUUAAAAAAGGAAGGAAAAACUAAAAAAAACCCGGUUUGGGAAGAUUCUAGAAACCUUCCCAAUACCAGGAAAUGGAUUGUGCUUGGACCGCUCAGAUGAAGGCAGUGUGUGUGUGGUUCUCAAACCCGGUCUAGGAAGAUUCCCCGAUGAUCGCUCCAUGACGCCCGGUCUAGGAAGAUUCUCUAAUAAUCGCUCCAUGGCGCCGUGAUUAUUAUAAGCAAGACCCUUGGUUAGCGUUUUAGGGCAAAGACAUGAGAAUGCGAAUGGAUAAGAGAUCAUCGGCUAACGAAAGAGCUUCCCAGCAAGCCAUCGCCUCAACUAUAGGGACAUCUAAUGUACCAACAUCAGUAACAGCAAACAACCACAACAGCUCCUAUGAUUCCUUGUUUGAACAUCGUUUCGUCAAUGUUCAGUUUGAUGAUGCUAGCUGGAAGUUGAUCCAGGGUUGGCGUCGGGGACCUUGCUCCAUAUUCCUUGCAAUGCUAGGCUUGGCCUUUGCAAUGACCUCUAGUUCCAAGAUGAAAUGCUUAACAAUCAGGUGUGACACCCGAGGAGAUUGAAAGACUGACUCAUAGAUAGCUUUACCGCGAGCGUGCUAGAUGUCCCAUGGGAUGACUAUUACCCUUCAUGAGGUCAGCAUGCGAUAAUGAAUUAUGCAUGCUAAGCAGCCAAAGCUUUGCAUUUUCUUCCAUUUGUAAUGAUCAUAUGCUCUAACACCUCUUCAUGGCAUACGUGGUGCAUAUGGAUAUUGGUACGGCAAUAACAUGGGAUGGGGAACAAAAAGAGCUCCUAAUCGACGUUCAGUGCACCAGUUAAACGAACGGGAGUUCACGCGCGUCUCUCGCAUGGGCCAUAUCAAGACAUGAGCCGCUCGCUCACUCGCUCGCAUCCCAUCCGCUUCCUUGGAUUGUUUUGAUGGUUGACCGGUUGACAGUUGAUCAUCCGAGCAUUGACCAUAGACUUUCCAGAAAAACAUAGAUUCGAAAAAGUUUGAGGAUUUGUACAAAAAAAUUAUCGUGCAUUUCAAAAAAUAGGGCUGAUUUUGAAAACAAACCAAUGCAUUUGGAGGAAGUUGGAAAAUUUCAAAAGAUCAUGUAUUUAAAAAAAUACACAUGUUUUUUUAAAUUGUGGAUUUGAAUAAUUUUUAUGAAUUUUCAUAAGUUCCUGGAUUUUUUAAAUGUUCAUGGAUUUGAAAAAAAAAUUGCGGAUUUAAAAAAGAUUUAUGGAUAUGAAAAAAGUUGACAUAUUUGAAUAACGGGCAUGGAUUUGAUUUCUUUUACAAACUUUGCAGAUAAAAAGAAUUCACGGGUUUGAAAAAUGGUUCGUGAAUUAGAGAAAAGAAAAACAAAACCCCCCAAAAAAAUCAGAAAAUAACCAGCCUACAAAAGGUUCCAUAAAAACCGGUAAAAUGAAACUAUAUGGGGCAGCCCACUAUGGACGAUCGAGUGUUGCAGCGUGGGCGCUGGGUACAGUGUAGCCACAUAUAUACCACUUGUGUUAAUUUACUUAUCAUUUCCAAAUCCAGGCGAAUCACUCACACGAUCAGACCACAUGUGAAGCUGCCUGCAACAUUUCCAGAGUGAGGUUUAGAAAAAUCCAUAAUCUUUAUCCAAACUUUGGCCCCGGCACCAUGUGCGGAUCUGGCAAUUAUAUAUUACAAGUUGUUGUAUUCCCUGUGGACCUGCACACAUAUACCACUUGCAUUAAGUUUACUUAUUUCCAAAACCAGGCGAAUCACUCGCACCACAGCACACCACACGUGCAACAUUUCCGGCCGGAGUGAGGUUUAAAAAAAACUUUGCCCCCUGCAUCAUCUGCAGAUCAGACGAUUAUAUAUUAGCUGUUGUCUUCCCCAUGGAUCUGCCUCACCAACCACCCCGAUCGAGAGUGACUAUGUAUGCUUAACUGCAUGCGUCGAUUGACUGUGGGAAGGAAGGAACGCGAGAGACGGAGCUUAGAACACAAGGAACGUGACGCGAGGAAGAAGAAGAGAGAGAGAGAGAGACAUGGGGGAGUUGGUCGAGGUCGGCAGCCUAGAGGCAUGGACCACCCACAUGGCGGAGGCCAACAGCAGCAAGAACCUGGUAUGAAUCUGUUGGUUUCUUUCUUCUCCAUUUCUUGUGUUCCCUUCUCUACUUCCUUGCAGUAUAUCGCUUACGCGCAUGCAUGUAGGCUCUGCUCUUUCCAUAAACCGGUCAAAACAGUCAAGAACCACUCCAAGGUUGCUUUUUGCCCAGUUUUGAAAGUUGAGGGUUGUAAAUUAGACGGUUUCGUAGUUCAGGGUUGUGGUUUAGGCUACGGUGGUACACUAGUAGAAAACAGGGCUAUGGUUCCGGGUCAAAUUUCACAUUAGUCCCGGUUCAAUCACGAACCGGGACUAAUGUGAGCAUUUAUCCCGGUUCGUGCGGCUAAGGCAUUAGUCCCGGUUCACCUGUGCCCUUUAGUCCCGGUUUGUGCCUCAAACCGGGACUAAAGGGUGUGAUGCCCAUUAGUCCCGGUUCAUGCCUCAAACCGGGACUAAAGAUUAGACCUUUAGUCCCGGUUUGAGGCACGAACCGGGACUAAUGGGGUUGAGACCUUUAGUCCCGGUUCGUGCCACGAACCGGUACUAAAGGUCCCAUUUUCAAACUCUACCCCACUGGAUCGCCUUAUCAAUUUAAAAAAAAAAUAAAAGAAAAUGAUGGAAAUGUCAAAAAAAUAAAAGAAAAUAAAUUUCCCAUGUGAUAUGUGGUCUAGUUGUUGGGAAAAUUUGCAAAUGUGAAUUUUGACUUUAUUUGCAAAAUCUCUCUGGAAUUUGUAAAUAUGGGCAUAACUUUUGCAUACUAACUCGGAUGAAAAAGUUUUUUAUAUGAAAAAUCAUCUACUCGAAAAGUUACAUCCAAAUUUAACCCCGUUAAACAUUUUCAAAAUCCUCAAAAACCUAACAGAAAAAAAGUUACGGGGUUUUUAAUAUCUAGAGUGGAAAAAAUCGAAAAAAUUUCAAACUGUGGUCAAAUAAUGGUCAAACCAUGGUCAAACUAAUUAUUCUAGAAUAUUAGUGUUACUAAAUAAUUUGUUCAGUUAUUUUGAAUUUUGGUAAAAUCUGGUCAAACUGUGGUCAAACUGUGGUCAAACCAUGGUCAAACUAAUUAUUCAAAAUAACUAUUGUUUUCUAAAUAAUUAUUGUUUUUGAAAACAAUAGUUUACAGAAUAGGCAAGGUCAUCGAAGACCGGAGAAAUGGAGCGGGAUGGUGCGCUCCAUUUUGCACUGAAGUAGAUCACCGCCUGUUACAAGAAGAAACAUGUCAACAUAGAAAUGUGGCACUGUUUACAGAAUACCGUCUUUGCAAAUGAGUCUUAUUUAUUGCGCUAGUUAACAAUAUAUCUAUGUGACAAACAGUCAAUUGCUGAGGAGUUCGGUGUUGAGGCCAUGCCGACCUUCCUGUUUAUGAAGGAAGGAAAGGUUGUGGACCAGCUUGUGGGAGCUUCCGAGUAUUUGCUGGAAAAGAAGAUGAAGCAACACACGACUGCAUAGUGGGGUAGUAUUUACCUAAAUAUUAAGAAUACUAGACCCGUAAGGGUUUCAUUUUUCUGAUUUUUUUAAAAAUGACACGUGUGAUGAGGUAUUUACUGGUUGUUAUCUUUUGCGUGAAUUUUGAUCUGAUCGGUUUCCAUCACGUGUGUGUUUUCCCUAGGAAGUUGCCGCUUUGACCAGAGUCUUGAGAUAUUUCUUUAGUUCCUAUAUCUCUCUUCCACCUGUCCUGCUAGGCUGCUACCUUUCUUACGCGUGCCCCGUUACAGAAGGCUCCAGACAUAUCGAGGGCACGGUUCGAUCCUUCUCGCUAAGCGCUCCACCGCCUAUAUGUAUAUAUAAAUAUAAAUAAAAAGGCUCAUCUCAUUCCCAUAGAGGCCACCAAACAACUAUCAACUGUGCCGUCGGAUCCCUGCCGCCGGGGCGACCAUCAACCACCACAUCGUAGAAUCGCAGCCCACCCCAUCGCCGGAGAUGAGGCGCCCCAAUCCACCUUCCAUCAGCUCCCCGUGCGCUCGCAGCGCCGAGUCCUACCCCCGGUGGCCCGGUCGUGGGAAGGACACGCUCGCCCCUCAAAGACAUCUUCCUGGUGUCCCCGCAACGGCGAACGCAUCUGUGUGGUGCAGGGGUUCUUCAGCUUCGGACGCGGGCCUCUCGACGAGGAGUACGUCUCCUGUUUCUCCUCUCACGGGGCAGUGCAUAGACGCGGAGUUUUGUUUGGCGAGCGCAACUAUCGAUGAGAAACGGCGAGGCAACUCAGCGGCCAGGUAACCAUAUUCUUUCUCUUGUGGUCGAACUCUCGAUUUGACUCGCCUCCAACUCUAAAUCUCCCUUCUGGCUCUCCUAGGUCUUGCUGCAGGGUAGUGAAGGAUUGACGAGCCAAAUAGAGAAAGAUCUGGUAACAAAUGAGAAUGAGAUCAAGGCUGAGGUAUUGUACAUCCAAAGAUCAGACUUGUUUUGUAUUGCUUGAACUGACCGAUGAGGUCCUCUUUCAACUGCUCCAUUUUAUGUUCGAUCAUGCAAUGUUCACAAGCAGUGACCUUGGUUCUGCAUAAAAGUAUCAAGGUGGCAUGCAAUCGUCAGUAUAAGAGGUUGAGGUUUCCUCUUUCUAAUUACAACGAUUACGCCUUGGUUUGUUUUGCAUAAUGGGGAGGGGUUGUAUACCGGUUGACCCUGAUGCCUGGAAGCAAAGAAAAGGCUAGAAGGUUGGUUCCCAAUCAUAAUUGCAUACCUCGGUUUCCGUGGGAACACUCAUACUUCAUGUUCCUGUACACUGUAAUAUGGCCCUGUUAGUCAGUGGAACAGAGAUCAAAAUGAUGCAUCUGUUUUUGGUAAAUGAUGAUUGUUGAUGUUUUUCUAUAUUAAUAAAAAAAAUGUGUGUUUGUUGAUAUUGCUAUGCUGUGUCCAUUCUGCUUUUUGGGCAUAUGCUUAUUUGUAGGUAUGUUGCUCCCUCCCUCUUUUAAUAUAUUUGUAGUUGUUUUCUAAUUGUUUGUGAAAACAGAUUUAUACUGUACAUGCAUAUGAUGUUUUGCCUUCUAUUUCUAAAUUUACAAUUUAUGAUUCUAAAAUAUCCUAUGCGAUAUUGUUUUUUACUCUUUUGUAUUGGCACACCAAGACUGGUCGCGCGGCCACCUCUUUGAGGUCGAGUUCGCAUGCACACUGCAUACUGUCGGGCCUGGAAAUCUACUCAAUAGGUAUAACUCUGAAUUUUCCCCUUACUAGAGGAAGUGGAGCUUUUAUAGUUCAGAAGAUAUCCUUUCAGUUCAUUUUGCUGCAGUCUGGGGCCCUUUUUGUACCUGAACUGAUUGACUAGCCCUAUCUACAACCUUCAGACAUGCAAUUUCUCCAUGAAGCUCUAAGUUUUCGUCUCUCGCCACGAUCCUUGAGUACUGUGGAGCAGCUUCUUCAUCCAGCCUCUUGUUUUCGUCUUCAGCAGGGUCAGUGAAGUUUGUACUAUGUUUUUAGGCAGUGUAUGGUUGUCGAACUUUCUCCUGUUUGCACUUAGUUUCAUUUAGGCACUCAGUAUUUAGCAAAAGUACCACCAAUGAUGCAUAUUAGCACACUAACAGACCGCAUUUUGAUCAUAUGUUCCUCUUGUUUUUUUCUUGAUGCUAUUUUAUCCAGUAAUAAUUUUAUCCAAAUAUAAGAUGAUAGGGACAUAAACAUAUAGAUGCGAUACAAGUUCGUAUGCUUCAGACUACAAGGCGAAUUGCUACAUAAACAGCAGAGAGAGAGCGUGGGGACGGCCUGCCCCACAUCCCAUGAGGUACCCACCGGCCUGCCCCAGCUCCCCCAAGUGAGGAGUUCCACUGGUUGAUAUGCAUGUAUAAAUUUUAACAGGCUGGGGUCAACAGAAAUUCCAAACUUAAGCUGCGGUCGGAGAUCUAUGAUUCUUCUUCAUCGAAAGAAGAAACACCUUUUCUGUCAUCCAUGUCUACAUACAUGCAUGCCUGCAAAAGGAAACAUAAUCUCUGCAUUGUGUUACAUUCAGGAGCAUGCAUUUUAUCCCAGUUUUGUACUUCUGAAUUUUUUUGAUUUUAAAUCAAAGGAUGUAAUUGCAAAUGUUGAACUCCCAAGUAGAAAAUAGACAUAUUGAACUUAAUUUUAACUGAUGCUUCUCUUCAUUAUUUUGCCUUUCUUUUCCUUUCCUUCACAGGUAGCUGCCCUAUUCAGGGAGCAGGUUUUUUAUCCAUGAAAGUUAUGUCCUUUCCCUGUUAAUUGUACAUCAUUUCUUUUUUAG